rnacentral:lncRNA from 1 species
AGGAACUUAACAUAUAUCCUUUCAAGAAAUAGUUCUCCUAAGUCGAUAGAACUGGCCAACAAAAUAUUCCAAGCACACCCAAGUUUAUUUGCUGAAAAUUUACGAAUAACAUGACAAUAAUACCUCAUAAAAUUCACAGCCUAGCUAGUAUUAAAAAGGAGGUAAAAUAAUUAACCAGUAAAGUAAAUAAAAUAACGUAGGCUGAUCAUUAAAACACAAAGUAAUCGAAAGAGAAAAAUCUGAAGGGGGAAAAUAACAUACAAGGAUAUUACACACCAAUGAGGAAAAAGAAAAGCCAAAAAAAGAUUAAAAUGACAUCAAACGGAACAGGUUCAAAUCAGUUGCAACUGAGAGACUCGAAUCAAAUUCUUUUCCUGAUAACAAAGUAAGAAAUGAUGAGAGCAAGAAAUCCUAACAGCAAUGCUGGAGAAGAAUUGGUGGAGCCAAUAUUUUUUGAGGGAGAAGAAUCAGCAUAGUUGCCGCCUCCUCCAUAUUGUGCAUUAGCAACAGCCAAAACCAUAGCCAAAAAAGCAACUACAAUUGCAACUGAACCCCUAAAACCCAUGCUUAAGCUCUCCUUAGGUUACAACCUUAAGUACUUACACAAAAGUUGUUGAUUAAUUUCCUUUUGAAAGUUCUACUCAGAUUCCAACAAAGCUCCAUGCUUAUAUAGGAAUAAUGUAGAGAAAUGAUCCAUUGAUUUUUCCCUAGUAGGUGCCAAUAUAUAAUAUAAAAUACAAAUUGGUUAAACUAUUGUUUUCGGCUUGAUUUUUAUAUUUUAUAUAUUGUAACAACCUUGAUCAUGACAACUCUUAUACUUGAACCAAUUUUGAUUGCUUAUGCUAUGUGUUACUUAAAUUAAUAAAUGCAUAUGUAUAAAAGACCUAACGUGGUUGGGACGUGGGAUAUAUAUGAUAUGCCUGCCCAACUAAUAUGCCUAAGAACGUGGAUUUAAAUAAGCAUCUCCAAAAGUAUAAAUGUGUAUUAUUACAGAAUAUUAAUAGGUGAUGAUUGUUCAAAUUUCAAAAGAUUUUAUUUGGCUUAAUUCUCUAUGAUAUCGCGGUAACCACAUAUUCAACAUUCAGAUCGAUCAGAUCAAACUCUUUCCUUCAUAUUUCCGGACUUCCAAAAACCACAUAACUAAAAUGAUCCCAAGAUCAUUGUUGCAGCCUAAUAGUUGAAACGUCGGCCUUGAAACGUCGCUCUACAUCACUUUGUACAGUUUUUUUUUUUAAUAUAUAUGGAGAGGAGGUUAUAAGGCAGAGAAUCGUACCAGCAUCAACAAAGUAAAAGUGAGGUAGCUAGUCAACGGAAUUACUAAGAUUACCCUUGUAUAAGGUUCGAAUACCACCGCAUUAGAGAUUCUCCAAUCUUUUAAUUAGCUUCCUACCCCCUGCUAUUAACAAAUCUGCAUUCAUACGGUAGUGGUUAAACAUGUGUUAAUGUUUAAUGGUCGCUGAACUUAUGAUAUCCAAUGACCAAUCUACGUCGUCCAAAAUGAUGCAGUUAGCGCAGUAGGAUAUUUGUUCUUAACGUAUUUCUUAUUAGCACUAGUUGUUUGAACUUAAGUUCUCUAAUCGAGUAAAGUCCUGGUGCAAUUAAUUAUUAAAUAUAGUUAGGUGUAGAGAGACCUGAAGUCUAAAGGUUUCAAGAUGAGCCGACCAAAACAGAAUACUUGGAGCGUAAGUUUAGUGGUGCUACUCAGAGAGUGGAAGGGGAGGUGAGGCUCUAGAUUCAGGGCGUAUCUAGGGGGGGUUCCAUGGGGCACGUGAACCCAUGCUCCCCUCCCUAAAUUAUGUAUAGUAAUGUUAUAUUUUUUUAAAUAUAUGUAUGUGCACCCAUGCUCAAAGUAUUAUAUAAUGUGAUAGUUAUUUGGUGUAUCUCUCUAGGUGAGGUUGUGAGUUCAAAUCUUAUGUCAAUCUUGUUAUUUUUUUCUCUCUUUUUUUUCUAGAACUAGACUCCCAUGGGAGAUUAUGGGCGUGUUUGGUGUUAUUUUUUGCGUAUUAAUUAAGUACUUUUUCUUUUUAAUUCUUUUUUGUUUGGUUUAGUCUUCAAAAUUUUCACACAUUGAAAUUCCUACUCUUCUUUUGUCGCUGUAAAAUGUCAUAUGAUUAAAUAAAAUAUGUAUAUUAAAACCAGUAGUAGUGUAUGAUGUAGCAUAUAGUCAAUGGGUUCAACUGGUCCCAAUAUUUUCAACAUGGGAAAUAGAUAUAGAUGUAAGAAAAUUACUAUUUAAAAUAAUUUUGAACUUAUAAUUCCAAAAGUGUAAUGAGUGCGCAAUCGUAAGAACUAAAGGUUGAACCCAUAAAAUUUAUAUUUUGGAUCCACAUCUUCUUAAUAGUGCACCCAUUUUGUCAAAAUCCUGGAUACGCCUCUGCCUAGGAGAGGAAGUUUUAAGUACCUUGGGUCUAUUAUACAGGGGGGUGGGGAGAUUGACGAAGAUAUCACACAUCGUAUUGGGGCAGGAAUAUGGAUGAAAUGGAGACUUGCUUCUAGUGUUUUGUGUGAUAAUAAGGUACCACCAAAACUUAAAGGUAUAUUUUAUAGAGCGGUGAUCAGACCGGCUAUAUUUUAUGAGGCUGAGUGUUGGCCAGUCAAGAGCUCCCACGUCCAGAAAAUGAAGGUAGCAGAGAUGAGUAUGUUAAGAUGGAUGUACGGGCACACCAGAUUAGAUAGGAUUAGGAAUGAAGUUAUUCGGGACAAGAUGGGUGUGACCCCUAUUGAGGAUAAGAUGCGGGAAGCACGACGUAGAUGAUUUGAACAUGUGAGGAGGAGAAGAACAGACGCCCUGGUAAGGAGGUGUGAGAGGUUGACAUUGGAGGGCCUUAGGAGAGGUAGAGGUAGGCCGAAGAAGAGUGGGGGUGAGAUGAUUAGGCAUGACAUGGCGCAACUAUAGUUGACCGAGGACAUGACCCUUGAUAGGAAGGUGUGAAGGUCGAGAAUUAAGAUAGUAGGUUAGGUAGUCUAGAUUAUUCAUAUCGGUAGUAUUAGUAAGUACUCUCGCAUUUGGUUGGUACUAGGUUUCUUUGAAUACCUGUCAUUUUUUGCAUUACGAUCAUCUUACUAUCUUGUUAUGUAUGCUGUUUUUACAUGGUUUUUCGGUAUUGUCCCGUCUUAUUUUCUUGUUAUUAUUGUGGUACAUAUGCUUUCAUGAGCUGAGGGUCUAUUGGAAACAGUCUUUUUACUCCACAAGAUUAGGGUAAGGUCUACAUACGCACUACCCUCCCCAAACUCUAUUAUGUGAAAUUAUACGGGGUAUAUUAUUGUUGUUGUUGUUAGGUGAUAAAUGAGCAUCAUGAUAUCCUUAGUUUAGCGUGAAUAUUGAAUGUGAUUAAGUUUUUAAUGUUUAGUAUGUGAACCAAACGGUCCCUAAGAAAAUAUGCGUUGAAAAUUAUCUUAUCGAGUCUACUAAAGUUUUGACCCAAUAUGCCUCCAAUCUGGGACGCUUUGGUCCAUCCUAGGCGGCAAAAAUGGUUAAAACAAAAUAGUUAUCUACCCAUAUUAUCUAUAUAUCUAUAUCUAUCUAUCUAUAUUAUUAUAAAAGUACGAAUGUUUUACACUAAAUGUUGAAUGACAAAAAUAUUCUUAAAAUAUUGAUCGACUAGUAUACCCUUAUAUCUUGUCUAAAAGAUAGUUCUAUAUUGGAUAAAAUAGUAAUAUCUAAUACGAAUUUGCCUAAUAUUUGGGAAUCUAAUACCAACUAGUGAUAUAACUUUUUAAAAUUAUAAUCGAAUGUAAAGUUCUAAUAUUAUACUAAUUGUACCUGGACAAUUACAUGGAACAAUAAUAGAAUCCCAUAUGCUUUGAGUUUCAAACCCAUAACAAUAUCCCACGCAUGAAACACAUAUUGCAUCUAUAUAAAUAAUUUCAUUGUAUUCACGCUAUUACAAUAUAAAACAUCUAUACGCAGAUCUUUUAGAGGUAAUUUUCGUCUCUUUCAGUAUCGUAUUUUAUAGAUUAAAUUUUGGCUCUCUAACAUAAACAAAAGAAAGCUACUCACAAUUACGAAGUUGAAUGUUUAAUUUUGUGCAUGUUGGCUGAUAAUUCAUCCACAUCUUUAUGGGUUGUUAAGAAAAAUUUUUGUUUGUUUGUUGGAAGGGAUAUUGAUGUAAAGAUUAAAUUAAGUUACACUCGAAAUAGUGGGAAUGCGGUCUCUACAUCCCAUCCAAAGGAACUAUAUUUUUAUAGGAGGAUACUUAAAGAGGAAGAUGAGAAUAUAUUAAUUAACAGAGAAGGUUUAAUUUGCGGUAUCAACCGAUGAGAAUGGAUGAGGAAGUUAGAAGGAAUACUGAAUGGUAUGUUUUUAAACAACAAACCAAUCCAUGUUUAUCGUACUUUAAAUAAUUUUGUUGUCUUAGAUGAGAGUCAUAUAAUUUAGAUUUCUUCUUUACGUAAAUAUUCAAAUGUAUGCUUAACUCCGGCCUUCAUCUACAUCUCCUACACAAAAAUUCAGGUAAAAUAAUUAUACCAACAAUCUACUUGAUUAUUCUUUUAUUAAAUAACCAAAUAUUAAUAUUUUGAUUUGGACAAUGUCAAUCAAAUCAUGUUUUAUUGAUUAUUUCAGAACGUUCUCAAUAGACGGUAAGUACAGACAUACCUACAAAGAAUUCACAUAGUACUAUGUUUGGAAUCCUUAACCGACAAUAUGAAAUAGAAAAAAGAUUUGUAUUCGGUCUAAUCGCUACAUAUCACAUUUUUCCUACAUCAUUUGUAUGAAAAACAAGUCUUUCUUUUUGUAAUAUGUUUCAAAAAUUAAUUUGAAUUCUUUCAUAAAUUAUUGACUUAAGAAUCUCGUGCAAUGCACGAACGUAGAAACUAGUUAUUAUAAAAGCAUGAAUAAUUUAUGCUAAAUGUUGAACGACUAAAAUAUCUCUAAAACAUUGAUCGACUUUUAUGCCCUUAAAUAUUGGUAUAGUUUAAGGAUCUAAUUGUAAUUAAAUUACUCAAUGAUGGUAUUCUUUUUCGAUUUAAACUACACAUGCAUCAACCCUAUAAAGUUGAUCCUACUUGAAUUAGAAAAGCACAUUAAUAAUUUUCUUUUAAAAAUUAAAAUGUCUUACGUAUUUUACUACAACAUAUGUUGUAGAUUGAAUUUUUACUUAUGAGCAAAUUUUAAAUGAUUUACCGAUUUAUAAAGCUUAAAAGCAAAACUAUGACACUUAUUAAUGGUACUUAUUUUUCCCUAUAUCUUCCCCAAUUGGGAACGUAUAUAUUUAUAUCUACAACUAUCUAUUUCUAUUUAUAUAUCUAUCUUAUUAUAAAAGUACGGUUAGAAAGCUAUAUGUUGAUGAACUAAAAUAUUCUUAGAAAAUUGAUCACCUUUUUGCCCUUCAAAACAUAUAUUUGUACAAAAAAAUAAAUCCAUGUUGGUUGAUAAAAGUGUCGUAUUUGAGACUAUCUAAUAUAUUGGAUACCGAAGUCAAUUAAUAAUAUAUGUUUAGAAUUUUUAAUGGAUGAAUCCUUCUCUUAUUUGAACAAGAACUAGAGUCUGAUUUCAAUUGAGUUUUGAAGCUUCAAGUGUAUACUAAUUACACAUGGAUAAGAACGCUUUAAAUCGUCUGUUCCUUAAUCUAGAUAUAAAACGUUUCAUUAGCAUGCUGCAUAAUGCAUAUUUCAAACGUUUCGUGGAGCAUGUUAAAAUUCCUUUUGUCUAAAAAAUAACUUUUUAAUGUUAAGAUUUGAUAUGCAGAUGCAAAUUGCAUAUAACAUGCAGUUUUUAUCUCUCUAAGCUUUUGGCUUUUGUUUAAUUUUCUCCUUGUAGCUGCUGCUCGAAUUUAAAGUUCUUAAUUUAUCUUUUGGUUGUAGAUGAUCCUAUUGAAAAUUUUUCUAUCUUUACUUGAAGACCAUUGAUCUAAGGUAAUUUUAAAAUUUCUCUCCUUGUCUCCCAAGUUAUAGUAAGUAUGAAUAGAUUUCGAUUUACAGGGUUAUAUUGAGUAAUUUCAGAAUUUGACUAAUGGUACUUAUAAUAUACUUAAUUAGUGAUGCCAAGCUAACAGUGGAAACUAUGUUGAUGUUUUAUUAUAGGAAUAGCGUCAAAUCUCCUUUUUACUGUAUUAGUGGAUAAGGAAGGAACUAUAAUUAAACGGUUUGAGACAUCUUUUCAGUUUCAAAUUAAUGAUUUUUUUUUUCAGUUUCAGAUGAUGUUUUUUCAAGUUCAGAUGAUGUUUUUUCAGGUUCAGAGAUGACGUCCAAUUAUUCUUUUCAAGUAUUAUGAUAAUAUAAAAAUAUUAACUUUUCGCAUUUAAAUAAUUCUUUUUCGUGUAUAUAAAUAAUUGACUAAACAUCUACAUAUUAUUAUUUACAUGCAAUGCACGUUCGUAAAAACUAGUACUAUAUUAAAAGCGCGAAUGCACUUAGCGAAUUGUCGUUCGCCUUUUUUACCCUCUAAAUCUUGAUUUUAUAUUGGAUAAAAUCGUUAUUUUAAUUUUUUUCCUAAUAUUUAGGAGUUUCAAAUCAACUAAAAUUUGUACAUUAAAUUCUUACUUAUUAAACUUGUCAUUUAAUCAAUUUUUUAAUACUUAGGACACUAUAAAUAACUGUCACGACCUAAAAUCAUACCUGUCGUGAUGACGCCUAUCUUUUCUAGACAAGCCGACAACUUCAAUAAACCACAAUUUCUUUUAAAUGCAGAAAAUAUAAUAAUUAAAUUUAAGAGAAAACUCCACACAUACUGAUAUAAAUACACUCCCAAAAUCUGGUGUUACUGAGUACAUGAGCAUCUAUGCAUUACAAGUCUGGGAAACCCGGUCUAUAAUAAUACGAGACCAAAUACAAUAAACAAAAGGAUAGGGAAGGAGAGACAAGGUCUGCGAAACAUAGCAGCUACCUCUGAAUCUCCGAAAAUCAACUGUGUGAAAGAAUCAACACCCACUGUAUCCGAGGUCACCUGGAUCUUCACACAAAGUGCAGGGUGUAGUAUUGUAAUGACCCGACUGGUCGUUUUGAGUGUACUAGCCCCGAUCCCCUAUUUAUUAUUUUUCCCGUAUCUGUUUCUGCUUAUUUGACUUGCCGGGAGGUCUUGUUUUUGGUUUCAAAGUGUUUUGGGACACUUAAUCCCUGAAACAGAAGCUUAAAUUUUAGGAUUUUGAUCGUAGUCAGAAGUGUGUGAAGACGACUCCGGAAUGGAGUUACGCCAGUUCCGUUAGCUCCGUUGAGUAAUUUUGGAUUUAGGAGCGUGUCCGGGCUAUGAAUUUGAGGUAUAUAGCUAAUAUUGAGAAGUUUGUCCGGGGGGUUGACUUUUUGAUAUCGGGGUUGGAUUCCGAUUCCGGAAGCUGAAAUAGGUUCGUAAUGUUGAAUAUGACUUGUGUGCAAAAUUUGAGAUCAAUCGGACGUAGUUUGGUAGGUUUCGGCGUCGUUUGUGUAAUUUGAAAGUUUAGAAGUUCUUUAGGCUUGAAUCCGGGUGUAAUUGGUGUUUUGAUGUUGUUUUGAGUGAUUCGAAGACUCAACUAAGUUCGUAUGGUAUUUUAGGAUUGGUUGGUAUGUUUGGUUGAGGUUCCGGGGACCUCGAGUGAGUUUUGGAUGCUUAACGGAUUAUUUUUGGCCUUGGUGAGAUAGCUAAUAUCUGUUGCUGCAUUUUCUGGUUUCUUCCUACGCGUUUGCGAAGAGUGUUUCUGAGUUGGUGAGAUUUUGCUCUACGCGUCCGCGAAGGAGAGGACGCGAACGCGAAGGUAUGGCAGUGUGUGCAUAGCAAACGUGUUGGUGGAGUCGCGUUCGCGAAGGGGAGUGAGGCAGCUGGGGACCCCCAGUAUUUUGUUCUACGCGUUCGCGAGGUGAAGGACGCAUUCGCGAAGGUCUGAGUUUGCAAAGCUUCGCGUUCGCGAAGAAGAAAAUCUGGGCAGGCAAUAUUAAUUUCAAAAAUGAGGGUUUGAACCCAUUUUGCAUAUUUUGAGCUAGAGAACCCGGAAUUGGGCGAUUCUUGAAGGGAUUUUUGUGGAGAUGACUGGGGUAAGUGAUUCCUACUUGGUUUUGGUUAAAACCCAUGAUUAUAUCCUUAAUUUUAUCAUCUAAUUUGUGAUUUGGGAUGAAAAAUUGGGGAAAAAGAGGAAGAACUCUUGAAUUGGGAUUUUGAGGUUUUGAAUGGGAUUUUGUUAUUAGAUUUGAGUAAAUUUGGUAUGGUUAGACUCGUGAGUGAAUGGACUUUCGGGUUUUAUAACUUUUGUAGGAUUUCGAGACGUGGGCCCGAGGGCCGGAUUCGGGCCAAUUUCGGAUUUUUGUCUAUAAUAUAGUACUUUUCUUGUGGAAUUGAUCUCUUUAGCCUAUAUUGAUUGUAUUGUUCUACUUGUGGCUAGAUUCGGGACGUUUGGAGACCGAUUUGAGAGGCAAAGACAUUUCGGAGUAGAGAUUUGCUCGGUUUGAGGUAAGUAACAGUCUUAAAUCUGAUUUUGAGGGUAUAAAACCCCGAGAAUUGGUAUGAUGUAAGCAUUUGGAGGUGACACACAUGCUAGGUGACGGGCGUGUGAGCGUGCACCGUGAGGGAUUGUGACUUGGUCCGUCCCGUAAGACUGUAAAGUCAAAUAGCCAUUGUUAUUACUUGUUUUUCCUUGUCUUUGAGUAAUUGACUGCCUUUCAUGUUAGAAACCAUGCUUAGGCCAUAUGAUAUCACUGUUGGGACCCGCAGCAGUCAUAUACUUGUUGAAUUAACUACCAAUUAUUGUCUUGUACUCAGUCACAGUCUUACUUGUGUGUUAUAUCUGUGUUCCCUCUCAUUUCUUGUUGAUACUAUGUUAUCUUUGUUUGGGCCGAUCUUUAUGAUUUUUGAGAGCCCAAGAGACUAGAGAGGUUGAUGACUGAGUGAGGCCGAGGGCCUGUCUGUGAGAUAUUGAUACUAUGGCACGUGAGUUGUCCGUGUAGCACGUGAGUUGUCCGUGCGGUUCCACAUAUUGAUACUAUAGCACGUGAGUUAUUCGUGCAACACGUGAGUUGUUCGUGCGGAUAUAGCGUUUGGGCUGAAAGGAGCCCCUCCGGAGUCUGCACACCCCCAGUGAGCGCAGGUACUUAUUGAGUGUGAGUACUGAGGGCUCAGAGCUGAGUGAUUGAGUUGUUAUGACGAGUUGAAUGUCUGUUGCCCUGAGAGGCUGUACUUGUUUUCCAUUUGUUGAUGCACUUAGUUGCUAUCUGUCAUUGUUGUGAAAUUUUUGAAAGAUUCUAUAUCCAGAUUACUUGCACUGUAAUUGUAUAAACUGAUUUGACUUGAACUACCGGAUUUGAAAGUAUGUCUAUUCUUUGCUAGAAUUAUUAAAAAUGAACUGUAUUUGUAUAGCUCGUCACUACCUUCUCAGUUCUUUAUUUAUUUCUAUUACUUGCUGAGUUGGUUGUACUCAUGCUACACCUUGAACUUCAUGUGCAGAUCUAGGUGUGUUUGAUCACGGAGGUCGUUGAGUUCGUGCGCGAUCUUGUACCGGAGACUACGAGGUAGUUGUUGGCAUCCGCAGACCUUGUCUCUCCUUUUAUGUUUUCUUUCUUUUCAGUAUUGAUACUCAGACAAAAUUUGUAUUAGACUGGAUAUCUAGAUGCUCAUGAUUCAGUGACACCCCGAUGUCGGGUUACUUUCCACACUUAUGUUUUGGGUUUUACCCCAUUUUUAUGGGGGGAAAAAACUUCGAUUAUUUUAAAUGUCUUAAUUCAUUUCUGUUAAAUUUUGAAAGUGUUUUGGAAAUGUCGGCUUGCCUAGUAUCACGAUAGGCGCCAUCACGACGGGUUAGAUUUUGGGUCGUGACAAGUUGGUAUCAAAGCCUAGGUUACAUAGGUAUCACGAGUCAUGAGCAGGUUUAGUAAAGUCUUGCGGAUAGGUGUGGAGACGUCUGUACUUAUCUUCGAGAGGCUGCAUAACCCUUAGGAAACUCCACAUUCUUGAAUUCUUGUCGUGCAAAUCUAUUUAUUCUAGUAACUAAACAUAUGUUGUUUCAUUCUCUCAUAGAUGGUGAGGACUCGUGCUACCGGAUAUGAUGGACAGCCACCAAUACCACCAGCCAGGGCCGCGAGAGGCCGAGGUCACGGUAGAGGCCGCGGUAGGGGCAGAGGUGCAGCCCGCACAGUAGCUGGGGCAGUACCUGCAGAUCCACCAAUUGCCCCAGAUCAGGACUAGAUUCCAGUUGUUGCACCAUCUCAGGCACCACAUGUGCCUAUUGUAAUUCCAGGCCUUCAGGAGGCCUUAGCUUAGAUUCUGACCGCGUGUACCAGUAUUGCUCAGGCGGUCUCUGUUCCGGCCGCAGCAGCCGCUUCUCAGGCUGGGGGAGGUGCUCACACUCCCGCCGCCCGCACACCAGAGUAGGUGGUACAGGGAUUUCAGACACCUGGGGCACCACCAGCCCAGCCGGUUGCAACUGCUCAGGGCUAUGUGGUACCUGUCAUUCCUGAUGAUGAGCAGCAUCGAUUGGAGAGGUUUGGGAGACUCCAGCCUCCAUCUUUCAGUGGUACCGAGGGAGAGGAUGCGCAGGGCUUCUUGGACAGGUGUCAGAGGAUACUCCAUACAACAGGUAUUCUGGAGACCAGUGGGGUCUCGUUCACUACCUUUUAGUUCUCUAGGGAUGCCUUCAGUUGGUGGGAGGCUUACGAGAGGCGUAGUCCGGUCUAUGCAGCACCCCUUACAUGGUAGCAGUUCUCCGAUCUAUUCCUGGAGAAGUUCGUGCCUUAGUCCCAUAGAGAGGAGCUGCACAGGCAGUUUGAGCAGCUUCGUUAGGGUGAUAUGUAUGUGAGACAGUAUGAGAUGCGAUUCUCAGAGUUGGCCCGUCAUGCUAUCUGGUUGGUUCCCAUAGACAGGGAGAGGAUCAGGAGGUUCAUAGAUGGCCUCUUUUUCAGCUGCGAUUGCUUAUGACUAGAGAGAGAGUGUCUGGUGCUACUUUCGACGAGGUGGUUGACAUUACUCGUCAGAUUGAGAUGGUUCGCAUCCAGGAGCGGGUUGAGAGGGAGUAUAAGAGGCCUCGUGGUCAGGGUGGAUUUAGCGGUGUUCCUUCUGGGGGCAGUUCCACCACGGUAGGGGUCGUCCUUUCAGACAUGCUCAGACGGCUCGCCCAGUCCACCGUGGUGCAUCAUCUGGCCACGGGCCACACAGUCAUCAGUAGGGCUAGUCGUCAUUCAGUACACUACCGGCGCAAAGUUCUCACCGGGCCUCGUCAGCUCAGGUUUCCACGGGUAGUUCCUUUGGGCACCAGGAGCAGCAGUUCCAUCAGAGGAGGGGUUGUUUCGAGUGCGGAGAUUUUGGUCACAUCAAGAGAGAUUGCCCUAGGUUGUUGAGUGGGGCUCCACAGCAGAGUACUUGAUCGAUGGCACCAGCACCAGCAGCUCCACCACCCGUCCAGCCAGCUCGAGGUGGGGCUCAGUCAGCUAGGGGUCGCCCGAGAGGGGGAGGCAGAUCAGGGGGUGGCUAGGCCCGUUUCUAUACCCUCCUUGCCAGACCAGAUGCCAUUUCUUCAGAUGCUGUGAUUACACGUAUUGUCUCAGUUUGCCAUAGAGAUGCCUUCGUAUUAUUUGACCCUGGUUCCACUUAUUCAUAUGUGUCCUCGUAUUUUGCUCAUUAUCUGGAUAUGCCCCGUGAGCCUCUAGUUUUAUCUGUUCAUGUGUCCACUCCAAUGGGCGAUACUAUUAUUGUAGACCGUGUAUAUCGGUCAUGUGUGGUGACUAUUGGGAGUCUGGAGACUAGAGUGGAUCUCGUGUUGCUUAGUAUGGUUGAUUUUAACGUGAUAUUGGGUAUGGAUUGGUUGUCUCCAUGUCAUGCUAUUCUAGAUUGUCAUGCUAAGACCGUGACAUUGGCGAUGUUGGGGUAGGGUUGAGUGGAGCGGUUCUAUAGACUAUGUUCCCAGUAGAGUGAUUUCAUACUUGAAGGCUCAGCGGAUGGUUGAGAAGGGUUGUUUAUCCUAUUUGGCUUUUGUAAGGGAUGUUAGUGCAGAGACUCCUUCCAUUGAUUCUGUUCCGGUGGUGCGUGAUUUUUCGGAUGUGUUUCCUGCAAACCUGUCGGGCAUGCCGCCCGAUAGGGAUAUUGACUUUGGUAUCGAUUUGGUGCCGGGCACUCAGCCCAUUUCUAUUCCACAGUAUCGUAUGGCACCGGCGGAGUUGAAAGAGUUGAAGGAACAACUUCAGGAACUCCUUGAUAAGGGGUUUAUUCGGCCUAGCGUGUCACCUUAGGGUGCACUAGUUCUAUUUAUAAAGAAGAAGGAUGGUAGUAUGAGAAUGUGUAUUGAUUACAGACAGUUGAACAAGGUCACAAUCAAGAACAAGUAUCCAUUGUCGCGUAUUGAUGAUUUUUUUAACCAACUUUAGCGAGCGAGGGUAUUCUUCAAGAUUGAUUUGAGGUCAGGGUAUCACUAGCUGAAGAUUCGGGACUCAAAUAUUCUUAAGACAGCUUUCAAGACCCGAUAUGGCCAUUAUGAGUUCCUUGUAAUGUCUUUUGGGCUGACCAAUGCCCCAGCACCGUUCAUGCAUCUGAUGAACAGUGUGUUUCAGCCUUAUCUUGAUUCGUUCGUUAUUAUAUUCAUUGAUGACAUCCUGGUGUACUCUCGUAGUCAAGAGGAGCAUGCUCAGCAUCUGAGGAUUGUGUUACAGUGAUUGAGGGAGGAGAAAUUUUAUGCAAAGUUCUCCAAGUGUGAGUUUUGGCUCAGUUCAGUGGUGUUCUUGGGACACGUGGUGUCCAGUGAGGGUAUUCAGGUAGACCUGAAGAAGAUAGAGAAGGUGCAGAGUUAGCCCAGACCGUCCUUAGCCACGGAGAUUCGGAGCUAGGUGUAGAGUUGGCCCAGACCGUCCUCAGCCAUGGAGAUUCGGAGCUUUCUUGGGUUGGCAGGCUAUUAUCGUCGUUUUGUGGAGGGUUUCUCAUCUGUUGCAUCGCCCUUGACUAAAUUGACCCAGAAGAGUGCUCCUUUCAGGUGGUCGGAUGAGUGCGAGGAGAGCUUUCAGAAGCUCAAGACUUCUUUGACCACGGCUCCAGUUCUAGUUCUGCCAUUAGCUUCUGGUUCCUACACAGUGUAUUGUGAUGCCUCACGGAUCAGUAUUGGGUGUGUUCUGAUGCAGGAGGGUAGAGUGAUUGCUUAUGCAUUGCGCCAGUUGAAGCCUCAUGAGAAGAACUAUCAUGUCCACGACCUUGAGUUAGCAGCAAUUGUUCACGCUUUGAAGAUUUGGCGGCACUAUUUAUACGGGGUUCAUUGUGAGAUUUACACUGAUCAUCGGAGUUUACAACAUCUGUUCAAGUAGAAGGAUCUUAACUUGCGUCAGCGAAGGUGGUUGGAGCUUCUUAAGGACUAUGAUAUCACCAUUUUGUACCAUCCUGGGAAGGCCAAUGUGGUGGCCGAUGCCUUGAGUCGCCGAGCGGAGAGUUUGGGGAGCUUAUCAUAUCUUCCAGCAGCAGAGAGGCCAUUGGCAUUGGAUGUUCAGGCCUUAGCUAGUCAUUUUGUUAGAUUGGAUGUUUCUGAGCCGAGUCGAGUAUUGGCUUGUGUGGUCUCUCGGUCUUCUCUUUAUGAUCGUAUCAGGGAGUGUCAGUAUAAGGACCCUCAUCUGCUUGUCCUUAAGGACACGGUCCAGCACGGUGAUGCUAAGGAGGUCACUAUUAGGGAUGAUGGUGUAUUGAGGAUGCAGGGCAGGCUAUGUGUGCCCAAUGUAGAUGGUUUGCGUGAGUUGAUUCUCCAGAAGGCUCACAGUUCGCGGUAUUCUAUUCAUUCGGGUGCCAUGAAGAUGUAUCAGGACUUGAGACAUCAUUACAGGUGGAGGAGGAUGAAGAAGGACAUAGCGGAGUAUGUAGCUCGGUGCCUAAAUUACCAGCAAGUGAAGUAUGAGCAUCAGCGACCAGGUGGGUUGCUUCAAAAGUUAGAGAUUCCGGAGUGGAAAUGGGAGCGGAUCACUAUGGAUUUCGUUGUUGGGCUUCCACGGACUCAGCGGAAGUUUGAUGUAGUUUGGGUGAUUGUGGAUCGGCUAACCAAGUUAGCCCAUUUCAUUCCUGUGAUGACUACCUAUUCUUCCGAGCAGCUGGCUCGAGUGUAUAUCUGCGAGAUCGUCAGGCUUCAUGGCAUACCAGUAUCUAUCAUCUCUGACCGGGGUAUGCAGUUUACAUCACGGUUCUGGAGGGUCGUGCAGCAUGAGUUGGGUACGUGAGUGUAGUUGAGCACAGCAUUUCACCCUCAGAUUGACGGACAGUCCAAACGCACUAUUCAGAUAUUAAAGGAUAUGCUAUGUGCGUACAUGCUAUGGAGUUUGGGGGUUCGUGGGAUCAGUUCUUGCCUCUAGCGGAGUUUACUUACAACAAUAGUUAUCAGUCGAGCAUACAGAUGGCACCAUAUGAGUCUCUGUAUGGUAGGCGGUGUAGGUCUCCAGUGGGUUGGUUCGAGCCGGUCGAGGCUAGAUUAUUGGGUACAGACUUGGUUCAGGAUGCCCCGGAGAAGGUUAGGGUGAUUCAGGAUAGACUACGCACAGCUCAGUCCAGACAGAAGAGUUAUGCGGAUCAGAAGGUUCGCGAUGUAGCAUUCAUGGUUGGAGAGCAGGUCUUGCUCCGGGUGUCACCCAUGAAGGGUGUUAUGAGGUUCGGGAAGAAGGGCAAGCUGAGCCCGAGGUUUAUCGGUCUAUUUGAGGUAUUGCGACGUGUUGGGGAGGUUGCUUAUGAGCUUGACUUGCCUCCCAGUCUAGCAGGAGUUCAUCGAGUAUUUCAUGUUUCUAUGCUCCGAAAAUAUCACGGCGAUCUGUCUCAUAUAUUGGAUUUCAGCUCGGUCCAGUUGGACAAGGAUUUAUCUUAUGUUGAGGAGCUGGUGGCGGUCUUAGAUAGGCAAGUUCGAAAGCUGAGGUCGAAGAAUAUUGCUUUUGUAAAGGUUCAGUGGAGAGGCCAGUCGGUCGAGAAGGCGACUUGGGAGACCGAGAGCGAUAUGCGCAGCCCGUUAUCCUCAUCUUUUCACCACUUCAGGUAUGUCUCUAUGCUCGUUUAGGGGAUGAACGAUUGUUUUAAGAGGGGGAGGAUGUAAUGACUCGGCCGGUCGUUUUGAGUGUACUAGCCCCGAUUCCCUAUUUACUAUUUUUCCCGUAUCUAUUUCUGCUUAUUUGACUUGCUGGGAGGUCUUAUUUUUGGUUUCAGAGUGUUUUGGGACACUUAAUCCCUAAAACGGAAGCUUAAGUCUUAGGAUUUUGACCAGAGUCGGAAGUGCGUGAAGACGACUCUGGAAUGGAGUUUUGUCGGUUCCGUUAGCUCCGUUGGGUGAUUUUGGACUUAGGAGCGUGUACGGACUGUGAAUUUGAGGUCUAUAGCUAAUUUAGGCUUGAAAUGGCGAAAGUCAAAUUUUGAGAAGUUUAACCGGGGGGUUGACUUUUUGAUAUCAGGGUCGGAUUCCGAUUCCGGAAGAUAGAAUAGGUCAGUAAUGUUGAAUAUGACUUAUGUGCAAAAUUUGAGGUCAAUCGAACGUGGUUUGGUAGGUUUCGGCGUCGUUUGUGGAAUUUGAAAGUUUAGAAGUUCUUUAGGCUUGAAUCCGAGUGUAAUUGGUGUAUUGAUGUUGUUUUGAGUGAUUCGAAGGCUCGACUAAGUUUGUAUGGUGUUUUAGGAUUUGUUGGUAUGUUUGGUUGAGCUCUCGGGGACCUCGGGUGAGUUUCGGAUGCUUAGCGGAUCAUAUUUGGCCUUGGUGAGAUAGCUGAUAUCUGCUGCUGCAUUUUCUGAUUUCCUCUUACGCGUUCAUGAGAGGGGCCUCACGUUCGCAAAGAGUGUUUCUGAGUUGGUGAGAUUUUGUUCUACGCGUCCACGAAGGAGAAGGCGCGAACGCGAAGGUAUGUCAGUAUGUGCAUCGCGAACACGUGGGUGGCGUCGCAUUCGCGAAGGGGAGUGAGGCAGCUGGGGACCCCCAGUCUUUUGUUCUACGCGUUCGUAAGGUGAGGGACGCGUUCGCGAAGGUCUGAGUUUGCAAAGCUUCGCGUUCGCGAAGCGUAGGUCGCGUUCGCAAAGAGUUAAGUUGAGAGGCAGUCUGAGUUGGUCUACGCGAACGCGAGAGGACGGUCGCGUUCGCGAAGAAGGAAAUCUGGGCAAGCAGUAUUAAUUUCAAAAAUGAGGGUUUGAACCCAUUUUGCAUAUUUUGAGCUAGAGAAUACGGAAUUGGGCGAUUCUUGAUAGGAUUUUGUCACGACCCAAAAUCCUAACAUGUCGUGAUGGCGCCUAUCUCGAUACUAGGCAAGCCGACAACCUCAAUAAACCAUAAUUUCUUUUAAGUUUGAAAAUAUAAUAUUUAAUCACAAUCCACAAGUCUCGCAAAUACCGAUACACACACUCCCAAAACCUGGUGUCACUGAGUACAUGAGCAUCUAUACAUUACAAGUUUGGAAAAUGUGGUCUAUAAUAAUCUGAGACUAAAUACAAUAAACAAAAGGAUAGGAAAGGAGAGACAAGGUCUGCGAAACAUGGUAGCUACCUUUGAAUCUCCGAAAAAUCGACUGUGUGAAAGAAUCAACACCCACUGUAUCCGGGAUCACCUGGAUCUGCACACGAAGUGCAGAGUGUAGUAUGAGUACAACUAACUCAGUAAGUAAUAAUAAUAAAUAAAGAACUGAAAGUAGUGACGAGUUGCUCAGCUAAGUCCAAAUACAGUACUUUCCAAUAUAAAAGAGUAGGUAUGCUCUCAUGUUCAACAUUUAAAAUUUCACUGAAAUUUCAUAUCAAGUUUGACCGAAACAGAAAAUGAUGUUUUUUCAAAAUUUCCAAAAUAGUGAUAUAUGACAGCUGAAAUGGCAAGUAAUGGAGUCAAUGCAUCCUCUCAGAGUAACAGUCACUCAGUCCUCCCAUUCACUCCAACCUCACAGUCACUCAUUCCUCACAGUCACUCAGCAUUUAGCACUCGCACUCAGUAGGUACCUGCGCUCACUGGGGGUGUGUAUAGACUCCGGAUGGGCUUCUUCAGCCCAAGCGCUCUAUCAAGCCAAUCAUGGUUUAAAUCAAUAAAAUAUGCCACGGCGUGCAUCCCGAUCCAUAAAUAGCCUCACAAUUAGGCCCUCGGCCUCACUCAGUCAUCAACCUCUCCAGUCUCUUGGGCUCUCAGAAAUCAUGAUAAGCAGCCCAACAACAAUGAUAUGAUACAUCAAUAAUGAAUAAGAGAGACUGAGGUAAAAAUGUGCAAAUAGAACUGUGACUGAGUGCAAAACAGCAAUUUAGCAAAUAAUUUCACAAGUACACGACCUUCGUGGGUCCCAACAGUGUAUACAUAUGAUUUAAACAUGAUUCAUAAAUCAAUUUCUCUAAUACGGGGAAAAAUAUAGAUCAACAGAUUUUUCAACUACACAGUUCCAUGGAAUUGACCAAGUCAUAAUUCCUACGGUGCACGCCCACACGCCCGUCACCUAGCAUGUGUGUCACCUCAAAACUAAUCACAUAAUACUUAUUCCGGGAUUUCAUACCCUCAAGACCAAAUUUAGAACUGUUACUUACCUCAAGCCAUGUAAAUUUUUAUUCUGCAAUGCCUUUUCCUCGUGAAUUGGCCUCCAAACUCUUAGAAUCUAGUCACAAAUAAUUCGAUUCAGUCAAUAAAAUUUAUUGGAAUUAAUUCCAUAAGAAAAUACUAAUUUUCUAACAAAAUCCAAAAUUUAGCUCAAAAUUCGCCCAUGGGGCUCAUGUCUCGGAACCCGACAAAACUUACAAAAUCUGAAAUCCCAUUCAACCACGAGUCUAAACAUACCAAUUUUACCAAAAUCUGACCUCAACUCGACCCUCAAAUCUUCAAUUUAAACCAAGAGGGUUUUCUAAAUUUUUCAACUUAAUUCACCCAUUAAAUGAUAAAAACAACCAUGAAUUCGGGUAAUUUAACAAAUAUUGAGUUGAGAACAUUUACCCCAUUGUUUUCUCUGAAAAUCUCCCAAAAAUCGCCUCAAUCGGAGCUCCAAAUCGGUAAAAAUGGAAAAUGGGACGAAGUACCAUUUUCAGAAUUUAAACUCUCUGCCCAGUCAUUUGCCCUACGCGGUCGCGAACCUUCUCACGCGAUCGUGAAGCAUAAUUUUUCCACUGCCCAAAUUAAGCCUACGCGAUCGCGGACUUGUCAACGCAAUCGUGAAGCUCAAACUCACAGGCCUACGCGAACACGAACUCAUCCACGCGAUCACGAAGCACAAACGUAUGACCUCCACUUCUGCUCCACUUACUCUAUGUGAACGCGACCUUCUUCACGCGUUCGCGAAUGACAAACUCCCAUAGCUACGCGACCACGGCCCUCUUCACGCAAUCGCAAAGAACAAAAUAUCACUGCCUCAAACAAGCCUACGCAAUCGCGGAUGAACUUAUGCGAUCGCGUAUAAGGAAACCAGAAGAAAAAUACCAGCAUUCUUCAGCAGUUUACCAAGUCCAAAUUUCGAUCCGUUAAGUAUCCGAAACUCACCGGAGGCCCUCGGGUCCUCAACCAAAUACACCAACAUGUCCUAAAACAUCAUACGAAAAUAGUCAAACCCUAAAAUCACCUCAAACGAUGCUAAAACCACGAAUCAUACUCCAAUUCAAGCCUAAUGAACUUUGAAAUUUCAAGUUUCCACAAACGACACUGGAACCUAUCAAAUCAAGUUCGAUUGACCUCACAUUUUGCACACAAGUCAUAAAUGACAUAACGGACCUAUUAAAACUUUCAGAAUCGGAUUUUGACCCCGAUAUCAAAAAGUCAAUCCCCCGGUAAAACUUCUCAAAAAUUCGACUUUCGCCAUUUCAAGCCUAAUUCCAGUACGGACCUCCAAAAACAUUUUCGGACAUGCUCCCAAGUCCAAAAUCACCAUACAGAGCUAUUGGAAUCAUCAGAAUUAAAUUCCGAGAUCGUUUACACAUAAGUCAAUAUCUGGUCAGCUUUUUCAACUUAAGUUUUUAAUUAAGAGACUAAGUAUCUCAUUUCACUCUGAAAUCCUUCCGGACCCGAACCAACUAACUCAGUAAAUCAUAAAAUAAUUGUAAAGCAUAAAUUGAGUAGUAAAUGGGAGAACGGGGUUAUAAUUCUCAAAAUGACCGACCAGGUCAUUAUAGAUAUUUGUGGAGUUGAUUGGGGUAAGUGAUUCCUACUUGGUUUUGGUUAAAACCCAUGAUUAUAUCUUUAAUUUUAUCAUCUAAUUUGUGAUUUGGGGUGAGAAAUUGAGGAAAAAGAGGAAGAACUCUUGAGUUGGGAUUUUGACGUUUUGAAUGGGAUUUUUUAUCGAAUUUGAGUAAAUUUAGUAUGGUUAGACUCGUGAGUGAAUGAGCUUUCGGGUUUUGUGACUUUUGACGGAUUUUGAGACUUCGGUUUGAGGUAAGUAACAGUCUUAAAUAUGGUUUUGAGGGUAUGAAACCCCGAGAAUUGGUAUGAUGUGAGCGUUUGGAGGUGACACACAUGCUAGGUGACGGAUGUGUAAGCGUGCACCGCGAGGGAUUAUGACUUGGUCCGUCCCGUGAGACUGUAAAGUCGAAUAGCCAUUGUUAUUUCUUAUUUUUCCUUGUCUUUGAGUAAUUGACUGCCUUUCAUGUUAGAAACCAUGCUUAGGCCAUAUGAUAUCACUGUUGGGACUCGCAGCAGUCGUAUACUUAUUGAAUUGACUGCCAAUUGUUGUCUUGUACUUAGUCACAGUCUUACUUGCAUUUUAUAUCUAUGUUCCCUCUCAUUUCUUGUUGAUACUAUGUUAUCUUUGUUUGGGCCGAUCUUUGUGAUGUUCGAGAGCCCGAGAGACUAGAGAGGUUGAUGACUGAGUGAGGCCGAGGGCCUGUCUGUGAGGUAUUGAUACUAUGGCACGUGAGUUAUUUGUGCACCACGUGAGUUGUCCAUGCGGUUCCACAUAUUGAUACUAUAGCACGUGAUUUGUCCGUGCGGAUAUAGCGCUUGGGCUGAAAGGAGCCCCUCCGGAGUCUGCACACCUCCAGUGAGCGCAAGUACCUAUUGAGUGUGAGUACUGAGGACUGAGAGCCGAGUGAUUGAGCUGUUAUGACGAGUUGAGUAUCUGUUGCCCUGAAAGGCUGUACUUGUUUUCCAUUUGUUGAUGCACUUAGUUGCUAUCUGUCAUUGUUGUGAAAUUUUUGAAAGAUUCUAUAUUCGAAUUACUUGCACUGUAACUGUAUAAACUGAUUUGACUUGAACUACCGGAUUUAAAAGCAUGUCUAUUAUUUGCUGGAAUUAUUGAAAAUGAACUGUAUUGGUAUGGCUCGUCACUACCUUCUCAGUUCUUUAUUUAUUUCUAUGACUUGUGAGUUGGUUGUACUCAUACUACACCCUGCACUUCAUGUGCAGAUAUAGGUGUGUUUGAUCACGGAGAUCGUUGAGUUCGUGCGCGAUCGAGUACCGAAGACUACGAAGUAGCUGCCGGCGUCUGCAGACCUUUUCUCUCCUUCUAUGUUUUCUUUCUUUUCAGUAUUGAUACUCAGACACUGUUUGUAUUAGACUGGAUAUCUAGAUGCUCAUGAUUCAGUGACACCCCGAUGUCGGGCUACUUUCCGCACUUAUGUUUUGAGUUUUACCCCGUUUUAUGGAAAAACAAACUCCGGUUAUUUUAAAUAUCUUAAUUUAUUUUUGUUAAAUGUUGAAAGUAUUUUGAAAAUGUCGGCUUGCCUACUAUCAUGAUAGGCGCCAUCACGACGGGUUAGGUUUUGGGUCGUGACAAGUAUGAGUACAACCAACUCAGUAAGUAACAAUAAUAAAUAAAGAAGUGAAAGUAGUGACGAGCUUCUCAGCUAAGUCCAAAUACAGUAUUUUCCAAUAUAAAAGAGUAGGCAUGCUCUCAAGUUCAACAUUUAAGAUUUCACUAAAAUUUCAUAUCAAGUUUGACCGAAACAGAAAGUAAUAUUUUUUUCGAAAUUUUCAAAAAUAGUGAUAUAUGACAGCUGAAAUGCAGCAAAUAAUGAAAUCAAUGCAUCCUCUCAGGUUAAUAGUCACUUAGUACUCCUAUUCACUCCAACCUCACAAUCACUCUUUCCUAACAGUCAAUCUUUCCUCACAAUCGCUCAUUCAUCGCAGUCACUCAUCACUCGGCACUCGCACUCGGCACCCGCACUCAGUAGGUACCUGCGCUCACUGGUGGUGUGUACAGACUCCGGAGGGUCUCCUUCAGCCCAAGCGCUAUAUCAAGCCAAUCAUGGCAUAUAACAAUGAAACAUGUUGUGGCGUGCAGCCCGAUCCCAUAAAUAUCCUCACAAUUAAGCCCUCGGCCUCACUCUGUCAUCAACUCUCCAGUCUCUCGGCUCAAGAUGUCAUNNNNNNNNNNNNNNNNNNNNNNNNNGUGAAAUUUCAAUUUGACAUAUAAUUCAAUCGCAGAAAUGACCCCAGUAGUUACCAAUAAUAACAACAUAUGUCUAAGCAUGAUUUUUAAUACGAGUCUCAACUCAAUUUUCCCCAACACGUAGAGAAUGUACGGAUAUCAAUAGAUAAUUCAAUUACACAGUUCCAUGGAAUUUGACCAAGUCACAAUUCCUACGGUGCACGCCCAUACGCCCGUCACCUAGCAUGUGCGUCACCUCAAAACUAAUCACAUAACACAUAAUCCGGUUUUCAUACCCUCGGGACCAAAUUUAAAAUUGUUACUUACCUCAAGCCGUGUAAUUCUUUACUCUACAAUGUCUUUUCCUCGUGAAUUGGCCUCCAAACGCCUAAAAUCUAGCCACAAAUAGUUCGAUUCAGUCAAUAAAAUUUAUUGGAAUUAAUUCCAUAAAAAAUUACUAAUUUUCCAACAAAAUCCGAAAUUUAGCUCAAACAUCGCCCGUGGGGGCCACGUCUCAGAACCCAACAAAAGUUAUAAAAUCUGAAAGCCCAUUCAACCACGAGUCUAACCAUACCAAUUUUACAAAAAUCCGACCUCAACUCGACCCUCAAAUCUUUAAAUUAAACCAAGAGGGUUUUCUAAAUUUUCAAACUUAAUUCACCCAUUAAAUGUUAAAAACAACCAUGGAUUCAGGUAAUUUAACCAAUAUUGAGUUAAGAACACUUACUUCGUUGUUUUCUCUGAAAAUCUCCCAAAAAUCGCCUUUAUCCGAGCUCCAAAUUGGUAAAAAUGGAAAAUCAGAACUUAAACUCUCUGCCCAGUCAUUUGCUCUACGCGAUCGCGGACAAUCUCACGCGAUCGCGAAAUAUAGUUUGCCCCUGACCAGUUUGAACUAUAGCUACUAACUCAAGGUCGUGGACCAGAUAAUUCUUCUCAUAUACCGUUAACUGUUUGGACACAUAGGCAAUCACCCUACCGUCUUGGAUCCGCACUGCGUCGGGACCAAUACGCGAUGCAUCACAAUACACAGUAUAAGACCCUGAACCUGUAGGCAACACCAAUAUUGGAGCUGUAGUCAAAGCUGUCUUGAGCUUUUGAAAGCUCUCUUCACAUUCGUCCAACUACCUGAACGGAGCACCUUUCUGGGUCAAUUUAGUCAUAGGCUAUGCAAUAGGCGAGAAACCCUCCACGAAGCGACGAUAAUAACCAGUCAAGCCGAGAAAAAUCCGAAUCUCAGUAACUGAAGAUGGCCUGGGCCAACUCUGAACUACCUCUAUUUUCUUCGGAUCCACCUUAAUCCCUUCACUGGACACUAUGUGUCCCAAGAAUGCCACAGAACUAAGCCAGAACUCACACUUAGAGAAUUUGGCAUAAAGUUUCUCUUCCAUCAGCCUCUGUAGUACAAUACUCAAAUGUUGUGCAUGUUCCUCUUGGCUACGUGAGUACACCAAGAUAUCAUCAAUAAAUACCACGACAAAUGAGUCAAGAUACAGAUGGAAUACGCUAUUCUUCAAGUGCAUAAAUGUUAUUGGGGCAUUGGUUAGCCCAAAUGACAUCACAAGAAAUUCGUAGUGACCAUAACGAGUCCUGAAUGCCGUCUUUAGAAUAUUCGAAUCCCAAAUUUUCAACUGGUGAUACCCCGAUCUCAAAUCAAUUUUGGAGAAUACCCUUGCUCCCUGAAGUUGGUCAAAUAAAUCAUCAAUACGCGGCAAAGGAUACUUAUUCUUGAUUGUAACUUUGUUCAAUUGCAUGUAAUCGAUACACAUUCGCAUAGUACCAUCUUUCUUUUUCACAAACAGAACCAGUGCACCUCAAGGCGACACACUAGGACUAAUAAACCCCUUAUCAAGAAGCUCGUGAAGUUGCUCUUUCAAUUCUUUUAACUUAGUUGGUGACAUACGAUACGGAGGAAUAGAAAUGGGCUGAGUGUCCGACACCAAGUCAAUACUGAAAUCAAUAUCCCUGUCGGGCGGCAUACCCGGCAGGUCUGCAGGAAAUAUAUCCGGAAAGUCUCUCACUACUGGUACUAAAUCAAUAGUAGGAGUAUCUGCAUCAACAUCUCUCACAAAAGCCAAAUAUGACAAACACCCCUUCCCAACCAUACGUUGGGCUUUCAAAUAAGAAAUUACCCUGCUAGGAACAUAAUCUAGAGAACCUCUCCAUUCGACCCUCGACAACCCCGACAUUGCCAAUGUCACAAUUUUUGCGUGACAGUCCAGAAUAGCAUGACAUGGAGACAACCAAUCCAUACCCAGGAUUACAUCGAAAUCAAACAUACUAAGCAAUAAGAGAUCAACUUUAGUCUCCAGUCCCUCAAUAGUUACCACACAUGACCGAUAUACACGGUCCACAAUAAUAGUAUCGCCCACCGGCAUAGAUACACGAAUAGGUGAAACUAAGGACUCGUGGGGCAUAUCCAGAUAAUGAGUAAAGUGCAAUGAUACAUACGAAUAAGAAGAACCAGGGUCAAAUAAUAUAGAAGCUUCCCUGUGGCACACUGAGACAAUACCUGUGACCACUACAUCUGAGACAGUGACAUCUGGCAUGGCAGGAAAAGCAUAGAAUCGGGCAUGACCACCACCUGAUCAGCCUCCCCCUCUUGGGAAACCCCUAGUUGACUGACCCCCACCAUGUGUUGGCUGGGCGGUGGUAAAGUAACUGGUGCUAAAGUCGUAAUUUGACUCCUCUUCUGUACUGGGCCUCCCGAGCAACGAGGACAUUGUCUCCACAUAUGCCCAAUUUCCCCGCACUCAAAGCAACUCCCUAGUACUAGUGGUGGUAAGGACUGAAUCGGGCCCCGAGAACCAGAAUAACUGCUAGAAACAACCGGUGCAAAUGAACCCUGAACUAAAGGGGUACGGGACGAACUCUGGGCUGGGAGGGCACUGAGAGAUGACGGACCCUGAUGAGAACUAUAUGAACCAUGGCUAGAUGAUGCACCACGGUGAACUGGAUGACCCGUCUGUGCUUGUUUGUAAGGACGACCCCUGCCGCGAUAAAACUGACCCCCUGAUGGAACACCACUGAAAUCACCUGGUCCACGAGGCCUCUUGGCCUCCCUCUCUCCAUGUUCCUGACUACGGACCAUCUCUAUCUGCCAAGCAAUGUCAACAACCUCAUCAAAAGUAGUACCAGAUACUCUCUCCCGAGUCAUAAGUAACCGUAGCUAAUAUGUGAGGCCAUCAAUUAACCUCCUAAUCCUCUCCCUAUCAACGGGAACCAACCAAACGGCGUGACGAGCCAACUCAGAAAAUCUCAUCUCGUACUGCGUCACAGACAUGCCAUCCUGACAUAACUGCUCAAACUGUCUGUACAACUCUUCUCUACAAGACUGCGACACAAACUUCUCUAAAAAGAGAAUGGAGAAUUCCUGCCAUGUAAGUGGUGUUGCACCGACCGGCCUGCGUCCCUCAUAAGCCUCCCACCAUCUGAAGGCAGCCCCAGAAAACUGAAAAGUAGUGAACUAGACCCCACUGGUCUCCAAGAUACCCGUUGUCCGAAGCAUCCGCUGGCAUUUAUCCAGAAAACCCUAAGCAUCCUCUGACUCAGCACCGCUAAAUGAUGGAGGUCGAAUCCUCCCAAAUCUCUCAAGUCUCCUCUACUCAUCAUCUUCCAUAACGGGGACUAUCGGGGCCUGAACAACUGCGGCAAACUGGGCUGGUAAUCCCCCCGGUAUCUGAAGUCUCUGUACUACCUAAUCUGGAGUACGGGAUACAGGGGUAUGAGUACCUCCCCCGGCCUGAGAAGUGGCAGGUGUGGCCUGAGCCGAAACCACCUGAGCAAGACCAGUGCAAACUGUCAAUAUCUGGGCCAAAGUCUCCUGAAGGCCUGGAAUCUCAAUGGGCACAACUGGUGCCUGAGCUGGUCCUGUCGGCUCAGCUAUAUCUGGAAUCUGCUCUUGAGCUUGAGCAACUGGUGGUACUACAAGUGUUGGUCCAACUGUGGUACGAGCUAGACCUCUAUCUCUACCUCGGCCCUGGCCUCUACCACGGCCCCGGCCUCUCGCGACCCUAACUGGUGACACUGGUCGCUGACUGUCCGAUUCAGUAGUACGUGUUCUCACCAUCUGUGAGAGAAUAGAAUAACAGAAAUUUAGUUUCCGGAAUCAACAAAUUCGCAUGAUAGAGUACAAGAAAUUGAAAUUUUCCUAAGGGUUCGGCAACCUCUCGAAGAUAAGUACAGACGUCUCCGUACCGAUCUGCAAGACUCUACUAAACCUGCUCAUGACUCGUGAGACCUAUGUAACCUAGGCUCUGAUACCAACUUGUCACGACCCAAAAUCACACAUGUCGUGAUGGCGCCUAUCGUAAUACUAGGCAAGCCGACAACCUCAAUAAAUCAUAAUUUCUUUUAAAUGCAGAAAAUAUAAUAAUUAAAUUUAAGAGAAAACCCCACACAUACCGAUAUAAAUACACUCCCAAAAUCCGGUGUCACUGAGUACAUGAGCAUCUAUAUAUUACAAGUCUGGAAAAUCCGGUCUAUAAUAAUCUGAGACCAAAUACAAUAAAUAAAAGGAUAGGGAAGGAGAGACAAGGUCUGCGAAAUAUAGCAGCUACCUCUGAAUCUCCGAAAAUCAACUGUGUGAAAGAAUCAACACCCACUGUGUCUGGGAUCACCUGGAUCUGCACACGAAGUGUAGGGUGUAGUAUGAGUACAACCAACUCAGUAAGUAACAAUAAUAAAUAAAGAAGUGAAAGUAGUGACGAGCUUCUCAGCUAAGUCCAAAUACAGUAUUUUCCAAUAUAAAAGAGUAGGCAUGCUCUCAAGUUCAACAUAUGGGAUUUCACUGAAAUUUCAUAUCAAGUUUGACCGAAACAGAAAAUAAUAUUUUUACGAAAUUUCCAAAAAUAGUGAUAUAUGACAGCUGAAAUGCAGCAAAUAAUGAAAUCAUUGCAUCCUCUCAGAGUAACAGUCACUUAGUCCUCCCAUUCACUCCAACCUCAUAGUCACUCUUUCCUCACAGUCGCUCAUUCCUCACAAUCACUCAUCACUCGGCACUCGGCACUCGGCACUCACACUCAGUAGCUACCUGCGCUCACUGGGGGGUGGGUACUGACUCCGGAGGGGCUCCUUCAGCCCAAGCGCUAUAUCAAUCCAAUCAUGUCAUAUAACAAUGAAACAUGUUGCGGCGUGCAGCCCGAUCUCAUAAAUAUCCUCACGAUUAGGCCUUCGGCCUCACUCAGUCAUCAACCUCUCCAGUCUCUCGGGCUCAAGAUGUCAUGAAAAUCAUCCCAAAAAUGAUAAUAUGAUGCAUCAAUAAAUAGCAACAGAGAGUGAGAUAUGAUAUGAAAUGAAUGAACAUGACUGAGUGUGAAAUUACAAUUUGAACAUAUAAUUCAACCGCAGAAAUGACCCCAAUAUGUGCCAAUAAUAACAACAUAUGUCUAAGCAUGAUUUUUAAUACGAGUCUCAACUCAAUUUUUCCUAACACAUAGAGAAUGUACAGAUAUCAACAGAUAAUUCAACUAUACAGUUCCAUGAAAUUUGACCAAGUCACAAUUCCUACGGUGCACGCCCACACACCCAUCACCGAGCAUAUGUGUCACCUCAAAACCAAUUACAUAAUACAUAUUCUGGGGUUUCAUACCCUUAGGACCAAAUUUAGAACUGUUACUUGCAUCAAGCCGUGUAAUUCUUUAUUCUGUAAUGUCUUUUCCUCGUUAAUUGGCCUCCAAACGCCUCGAAUCUAGCCACAAAUAGUUCGAUUCAGUCAAUAAAAUUUAUUGGAAUUAAUUCCAUAAGAAAUUACUAAUUUUUCAACAAAAUCCAAAAUUUAACUCAAAAAUCACCCGUGGAGCCCACGUCUCAGAACCCUAUAAAAGUUACAAAAUCUGAAAGCCCAUUCAAUCACGACUCUAACCAUACUAAUUUUACCAAAAUUUCGAUCUCAACUCGACCCUCAAAUCUUCAAAUUAAACCAAGAGGGUUUUCUAAAUUUUCCAACUUAAUUUACCCAUUAAAUGUUAAAAACAACCAUGGAUUCAGGUAAUUUAACCAAUAUUGAGUUAAGAACACUUACUCCGUUAUUUUGUCUAAACAUCUCCCAAAAAUCGUCUUUAUCCGAGCUCCAAAUCGGUAAAAAUAGAAUUUUCAGAACUUAAACUCUCUGCCCAGUCAUUUGCUCUACGCGAUCGCGAAGUACAGUUUGUCUCUGACCAGUUUUAACCUUAUACGAUCGCGGACCUGACCACGCGAUCGCGAUGCACAACUUCACAGACCUACGCGAUCGCGGACUCGUCCACGCGAUCGCGAAGCACAACGCGUGACCUCCACUUCUGCUCCAUUUUCUCUACGCGAACGCGGCCUUAGCCAUGCGUUCGCGAAUUAUAAAAUCCCAGAGCUAUGCGAUCGCAUCCCUCUUCACGCAAUCGCAUAGAACAAAACUCAACAGCCGCCAAUUAACCCUACACGAUCGCGGAUAUACCCACGCGAUAGCAUAGAACAAAACCUCCACUAUCCAGCUAAGCCUACGCGAUCGCGGACAAGUUCAUGCGAUCGCGUAUAAGGAAACCAGAUACAGACAUCAGAAAAUUCCAGCAAAAUUUCAUGUCCAAGAAUUGAUCCGUUAACCGUCCGAAACUCACCCGAGGCCUCCGGGACCUCAACCAAAUACACCAACAAGUCCUAAAAUAUCAUACGAACUUAGUCGAAGCGUCAAAUCACAUCAAAUAAUAUUAAAAAUACAAAUCAUACCCCAAUUCAAGCCUAAUGAACUUUGAAAUUUUAAAUUUCUACAAACAACGCCGAAACCUAUCAAAUCACGUCCGAUUGACCUCAAAUUUUGCACACAAGUCAUAAAUGACAUAACGGAGGUAUUCCAAUUUUCAGAAUCAGAUUUUGACCCCGAUAUCAAAAAGUCAUUCCCCCGGUCAAACUUCCCAAAAAUUCGACUUUCGCCAUUUCAAGCCUAAUUUCACUACGGACUUCCAAAUAAUUUUUCGGACACGCUCCUAAGUCCAAAAUUACCAUACGGAGCUAUUGAAAUCAUCAGAAUUAAAUUUCGAGGUCGUUUACACAUAAGUCAAUAUCCGAUCAACUUUUCCAACUUAAGUUUUCAAUUAAGAGACUAAGUGUCUCAUUUCACUCCGAAAUCCUUCCGGACCCGAACCAACUAACUCGGUAAGUCAUAAAACAACUGUAAAGCAUAAAUUAAGCAGUAAAUGGGAGAACGGGGUUAUAAUAUUCAAAACGACCGGCCAGGUCGUUACAAUAACCCCAAAGUUUUGCUUAUUAAAUUUUCCUUGUUUGAACUAUAUAUAAAGUUCUAAAUAUUUAAAUUUUUAAAAUCAAUCAAAAUUUAUUUCUAUAAACUAUACUAUUAUCCAAAAUUCAACUUAUAAUGAAAUACGAAUUCAGUUAAAAUUGUGUCCACUUAAAACCACACGCGAUGAUAACAAUAAGAGACCAUGAACUUCGACGGAGGGGAUCUGCUUUGACGAUUGAGAUACAACAAAGCAAUCGGAGCUUUUGGAUUCUAUAUUUGGACGAGGGAGAGGGGAAGAAAGAGGGGUAGGUUCUUUUUUUAAGUUUUCUUAACAUUUUAUUUUCUUUUUUUAUUCUUAAAAUUUUAAAACAAAAUUAUUACAUUCGCUUCAUGAAUUACAAUCUUUAUAAAUAUGAUGUCUGCAUGGUAUGAAUUGUUCAGUUAAAUAAUUUACCUUGAAAAUAUUGAAUUUGUCAAUUUUUUUAGACUUACUACCUUUCCUUUUUAAUGUUAAUGUUAGACCUACCUUAAACAAGUAAUUUAGAUGUUUUAUGAUCCAAGUUAAUGACAAUUAGAUGAUGAAAAGGAAGAGUUGUCAAUACUUUACUACUACUUUUAUUUUACUUGUCAAUACUUUACUACUACUUUUAUUUUACUUAUUAGAAGUGCCAUAACGAAAUUUCUAAUAUAUAAACACUUAGACUAAUGGGGCAUAUUUAAUUUAAGUAACGAACUAAUGUAUACAAUUUUAUUAAACGCUUACUUUGUGACAUGGAUUUUAUCAUCUAACAUUAAAAAAUACAUAUAUAUAUAUAUAUAUAUAUAACAAAGUAAGACACAAGUGAGGGAAGUUACUUUACCUCUUUAGAUAAAAAAAAAAAAUAUUACUUAAGAGAAUAUUUUAUGGUGUUUGAUUCAAAAAAAUUGACUUAUCUUUAAAAAAUUAUUUUUGGAAAAACAUAUUUCGUCAUACCAAACACACUCGUGUGUUAAUAUUACAUCUUUUGCUUUAUCGAAUAUGCACGGAACAACUGCUUUCAAUUCUGUAAUAUUUCGAGCUAACAGACACAUGGAUGCUUUUGGCAGGAAUGUGAUGAAAUAAGAUCAUACACAAGGUGAUAUAGGAAAAUUGUAUGAGUUAUAAAUAAUGAUAUAAUACAUGGUGGAUCAGUUUCAUCGCUUCUGAUCCGAGACUUUUGUUGGGUUUAAUAUUCAUCUUUUUCUGUAAUUAUUAUUUUAGAACUCAAAUAUAUUUUUAAUAUAAUAUUUAACAAUACAGUUUUUAAAAAUUUAUAUUUAUUGAUAUGGGAUACACACGCAACACGCGUACCCUGAGACUAGUUCAUUAAAAAAUGGGUUGGAUAAUGAACUAUUUAAAAACGGGUCAAAUAUGGAUAAGGACCAUAUUAUCCACUUAGAAAAUGAAUAACCAAUUUGUUUAAUUUUGAAAAACUACCGGUUAUGUCCAUUUAUAAGUAGCUUAUUACAAAAAUUGACCAAUUCAUUAAAUAUUAUCAAUAUUAGCCAAUUAGUUAUUUGUAGCUAAAAUACGUUAAAUAUUUCUUUCUUUUGAGUGGGUGUUAUUAGAAUAGUUUGGGUACAUCUUAAGAAGCUUGAAUCUCAGUUUUGGGAUGAUUUGAUGGAGUUUUGAGGUGGUUUGAAUUGAAAAGUAGAAGAUGAACAUGAAAAAAUAAUAAUUUUUGUAUCACAUUGUAUAUCAUUUGUGUAUCACAUAUGUAUUAUAUUUGUAUCAAAUGUGUAUUACAUGUGUAUACAUGUGUGAUAUAUGUUUGAUACAUGUAUUGCAGAAGAAUUUUUUGAACUCGAUUUUAACUACGAAUUUUAAUACCAAAUUUGUCCAAAUUGAAAAGAAUAAAGUCCAACCUAAAGUUAUGGUUCAUGUCUCACAUAAGGAAAGAGCCGAUCACUUGGUGUCAAAUCUCAUUCAAUGUGCUGCCAUAUCCUAGGGAUUUUCUCAGUCAAGAUUCACAGCUCCUCAAUCUCUUAUUGACCAUUAGAACCAAAUCAGGAAGAUGCUAAUUAAUCUUUUCUUUCCUAUUUUAUCUCUCGUGUGCUUCUGUAUAUAAAUAGACUCCUAUUGUAUUCUAGAAAAUAGACAGAGAAACCAAUACAACUUUGAAUUGCAAUUCUAAAAAUUUUAUCGUGGUAUCAGAGCCUCACGAGAGAUCAACCACAACCACAUGGCCUCUUCUGCUCUUUCCAACACUGAACCUGAACUUACUCUAUAAGUUCUUCAUCAGUGUUCCAGCCUUACCUCUAUGAAAUUUGACACCUUCAAUUACCUGCUAUGGCAAUCACAAAUGGAGCCAUUGAUUCAACGUUUAGACAUGGCACAUCAUUUGAUCGAAGGCCAUGAACCAACAAAGGAGAUUACUAAAGAUGACGGAAAAAUUGUUCCAAAUCCAAUUUAUAUUCUCUGGACAAAAAAUGAUGGUCUGUUAAAGGCCUGGCUGCUGAGAAAAAUUGAAACAGAGGUGCUGAUCUCUCUUGAAGAUAUAUCCUCAGCUCACAAGUUAUGAAAAUCCAUUGAAGAACGAAUUCUUCCUCAUAAUGUAGAAAAAGAAAUGAUGCUUGAUGAUACCUUGAUGAGUUUAAAAAGGAAAAAUCUCUUGCUAGAUGAAUAUAUUAAGAAAUUCAAAAGUGUUUGUGAUAGUCUUGCAGCAAUCAAGAAAUCGGUAAAUGAAACAAAGAAGGUGUUUCAGUUAGCUAGAGGUCUCGGGCCAAAAUAUCAAGAUUUUCGAACUGCUAUGCUAACCAAACCACCUUAUCCCACUUAUUAUCAGUUUAUUUUAUCAUUGCAAGCCUAUGAACGGAUGCUUAAUAACAGCAACAAAGAAAAAGAAAGCAUGACAUGCCAUGACCAAGCCUUUGUCGCCCAAAGAGGACGAGGACGAGGUCGAGGCGGAGGCAGAUUUAGUUCCAGAGGUAGAGGAUUCAAUCUAGUAGCGAGGUAUAAUCCAAACUCUCACCAAAAUACUAAAUUCAAUAAAAAUAAAAAUGAACAGGUUGCAAAAAUAUUUAAUUGAAAACAAACCUCGCCUCACCAAUAAGGAGAAAGCAUUGUGAAAUGUCAAAUAUGUGAAAAGUUCAACCACACUGCCCUUGAAUGUUAGAAUCGGUUUGACCAUUCAUUCCAAUCAGAGGACAAUCUACCAAAGGCACUUGUUGCAAUGAGUUUAAAAACUGAAGACGAUCCAAAUUUGUAUGCAGACUCGAGAGCAACAAUACAUAUUUUAAAUGACAUGGGUAAACUCUCUAAAGUCAUGCAUUAUAAAGGUAAUGAUACAAUUCUUGUUGGUAAUGGAGAAACUUUGAAUAUUUCUCACAUUGGUGAAGAAAAAUUUGAGACGCAAAGUGGUACUCUAGACCUUAAAAAUAUUCUGGUUGUUCCAAACAUUAAAAGAAUCUGAUAUCUGCGGGACAACUAGCUCAUGAUAAUGCAUAUACUAUUAAGUCAUUGGAGGGCAAAACACUUGCUAAAGGAUGCAAAAAUAAAAGGUUGUAUGCACUAUAUGAAAUAAAGCAUCAAGUCUUUAUUGUUUUCAAAAAUCCUGCCUCUAAAAAUAUUUGGCACAAGAGAAUGGCCACCCUCAUUCAAAACUUUUGAAGAUCCUACAUUUAAGAAAUUUAAUCAAUGUUUCUAGUUGGGAAAAAGAAAAAUAUGUUUGUAUUAAUUCCCAAAUGGGAAAUAAUUGCAGAAUUCUUUUUCCUUCAUCAAAUAAUAUUUCAAGAUUUCCUCUAGAAAAACUGCAUUGUGAUUUGUGGGGUCUUGUUCCAAUUCUAUCUUGCCAAUAAUUUAAAGACUAUGUAGUUAUUAUUGAUGAUUAUACUCGUUACACGUGACAUUUUCCUGUAAAGAAGAAAUUUGAUUUCUAUGAAAGUUUUCUUAAAUUUCAAAGACAAGUUGAAAAUCAGUUUGAAAGAAAAAUAAAAAAAAUUCAAAGUGAUGGUGGAGGUGAAUUCACAUCAACUGAGUUUGACAAUCAUUUAUCUAAAUGUGGCAUCCAUCAUUAUUUUUCUUAUCCACAUACUCCAGAAUUAAACGGUGUAGCUGAAAGGAAGCAUCAUCAUAUUGUUGAAACAUGCCUCACCUUACUAUUUCAGGCAAAUCUCCCUCUGAAAUAUUGGGUUGAUACUUUUCUAACAACAUGUUUUUUGAUAAAUCGUAUGCCCUCCACAAUGUAAAAAAUAAAAACUCCUUUCUUUAAAUUGUUUACUUGACACUCUCACCAUGGGAUUCUAAAAGUUUUUGGAUGUACGUGCUUUUCAUAUUUAAGAGACUAUGAAAAAAAAUAAGUUUGCAAAGAAAAUAUAUUCUUGUGUUUUCUUUGGAUAUCAUCCUAUUCACAAGGGUUAUAGAUGCCUUGAUCCUUCAAUUAAUAAGGUUUGGAUUUCUCGACAUAUUAUUUUUGAUGAAAAUAUUUUUCCUUACGCUCCUUCCAAAGAAAUGUAUAUACAAGAAAAUCUAGAAGUCACAACAUUUCCCGAUUCAGAUGCAUGGAGAAAGAAAGAGACUGACUUCACAAUUCAAAAAGGGAGUGCACAACAAUUAAAAUUCACUAAAGUAACUUAUGUAAAGAUUCAAAAAGGGCGAUCGUGCACUCUAUAUGAUGAACACCAUAUUACCAAAUAUCAAAAAGAAAAUGAGAAGACAACUCAGUUGUACAAAACGGAGUUAGAAAAUAACUCUAUGCCAGAACUCACUACUGACUUGGACAAUGCAAUAGAAAAUAUAGAAACUCAUGCAGUAGAAAGUGAACAACUUUUAGUCAACAACAAAGAACCAGAAUCAUCGAGCAAUGGACAUAAAACCUCUAACUCUAAUAAUUCUCGAACAACGAACAUCAAUCUCUUCUCGAGUCACCAAAUAUGAAUGACCAACUAACUACUAUUUCUAAUGAUUUUGGUGCAGGUUCAAUGCAAGCUUCAAAAGACAAUCAUAUGGUUACUCGAAUGAAGUUGAGAAAUAAUCCAGAACAAGAUCCUAACCUGGCAAAUAAAACUCAACAAAUUCGAGACAAAAGGGAUCAACAACACGACAAAUUACAUCAUAGCACAGUCAUCAUAACCAGCAACAUUACAACUCCAAAAUCAUAUCGAGAUGCUCUUGCUCACUCCCACUGAAAGAAAGCAAUGAAAGAAGAAACGGAAGCUCUAAAUGAAAAUCACACAUGGACCCUUGUGCCCAAACCAACAAACACUAAUAUAGUUGAUUCAAAAUCGAUUUUUUGAACCAAAUUCAAGGAAUAUGGAUCAAUAGAAUAAUACAAAGCCCGCUUAGUUGCACAAGGGAACACACAAGUGAAAGGAAUAGACUAUGAAAAAACUUACAGUCCAGUUGUAAGAGCUACUACCAUGAGAUUUGUUCUAGCUAUUGCGGUCUCGUCAAGCUGGAAACUAAGGCAACUGAACAUCAAAAAUGCCUUCCUCCAUGGUAUUUAAAAAAAACAAUAUGUGUGGAACAACCACCGGGAUUCAAGAAUCCAAAACUCCCUGAUUAUGUGUGCAAACUAAGCAAAUCACUCUAUGGACUCAAACAAGCGCCUCGUGCCUGGUUUAACAGCUUAUCUAAUUUUUUAAUUCACAUUAUUUUUAUAUGUAGCAUGGCAGAUUAUUUAUUAUUUAUUUUAUGAAAAAAUAGCAAUAUUAUGCUCAUGCUAAUUUAUGUCGAUGAUAUUGUGCUUCCAGGAAACAAUGAAGAAUUUAUAUAGGUAUUAAUAAGUCAACUCAGCUCAGAAUUUGCAUUGAAGGACUUGAGAAAAUUACAUUACUUUCUUGGGCUCGAAGUGCAAUAUUUUUCGGGAGAAAUUACUCUAUCACAAGUCAAGUACACCAAAGAUCUUCUGAACCAAGCAAGCCUUAUAGAAUGUUCUCAAUUCAAUACACCAAUGACAUUGAAAUCACAACUAACACCAGAAGACUCAAAAUUAGUCGAGGCAAAGGAAUACCGAAGUCUAGUAGGUGUGCUUCAAUAUCUAACUUAUACACGACCUGACAUCAUAUAAGUAGUCAAUAAGGUAUGCCAAAAUCUCCAAGAGCCAACAGAGGUAGACAUUAAAGCUUUAAAAAGAUACUUCGCUAUCUCAAAGGAACAAUGCACUAUGGAAUUAAAUUUCUUGCCCAGAGUCUACUAAAAGCUAUACGGAUUUUGUGACGCGGAUUGGGCAUGAUGUCCAGACACUAGAAGAAGUAGCCAACGAUUUCGAGAUAAAGCUCUAAAGCAGAAUAUAGGUCAAUGGCUAGUACAACGGCAGAACUAGUAUGGAUUACCUUCUUAUUCAGAGAUGUUGGAAUUAAAUUACAUGAACCACAACUCUUUUGUGAUAACAAAAUUGCAUUGUACAUGACCAUAAAUCUAGUGUUUCAUGCGCACAUGAAGCACAUAGAGAUUGACUACCACUUUGUUCGUGAAAAGGUAGCUAUUGGAGCACUAACGACUCGAUAUAUUCCCUCUUCUCACCAGAUCGAAGAUAUCUUUACCAAGCCUUUCUCAAAGCUCCCAUUUCAGCAUUUUUGGGACAAGCUAGGAGUACAUUCCAUCAUUUCCUCCAGCUUGAAAAAGGUGAAGAGAAUGAAGUCCAACCUACAUCUAUGGUUCAUGUCUCACAUAAGGAAAGAGCCAAUCACUUGGUAUCAAAUCUCAUUCAGUGUGCUAUCAUAUCCCAGGGAUUUUCUCAAUCAAGAUUCACAGCUCCUCAAUCUCCUCUUGACCGUUAGAACCAAAUCAGGAAGAUGCUAAUUAAUCUUUUCUUUCCUAUUUUAUCUCUCAUGUGCUUUUGAAUAAAUAGACUCCUGCUGUAUUAUGGAAAAUAGGCAGAGAAAGCAAUACAACUUUGAAUUGAAAUUCUAAAUUUUUUAUCUCAAAUCACCUCAAAUCUUUCUCAAAUUUUGUAUAUGUACUCAUCUAUAUAUUUUCAAUGAAUUUUAUCCAUACCCAUUGAAAAAUAUCCUUUUCUUUGCUACAUCAUCCAUGAAAUUUCCUUUCCAUCUUGUAUAUAACAGUGCUAAUCACGCUUUAAAAUAUAGUUGGAGAUCUUUGUGUGUGAUUCUUGGAGAGAAAGAACCUUAUUUAUUUGGGUUUUUAAUUUUUAUAUAUGCUUGGGUAUUUUGGUAAGUCUAUGGUUAAUAGAUAUAGGUUGGUAAGUUGGGACUUAUUUAGGACAUUUAUGUAAGUUUCCCUUUAACAUUUAUAUUUGUAAAGCCUCAAAUUGGGGUUCCUCAAGUUUGGGAGACUAGGAAUUCNNNNNNNNNNNNNNNNNNNNNNNNNNNNNNNNNNNNNNNNNNNNNNNNNNNNNNNNNNNNNNNNNNNNNNNNNNNNNNNNNNNNNNNNNNNNNNNNNNNNNNNNNNNNNNNNNNNNNNNNNNNNNNNNNNNNNNNNNNNNNNNNNNNNNNNNNNNNNNNNNNNNNNNNNCAUGGAUAAUAUGGUUAUUCAUAUUAUCCGCCAGUUAACCUAUUUUUUAUCCGUAUUAAAUAUGGAUGAGAUCGAAUAAUUUAUUCGUUUUUGCAUUACCCAUUUUCAACCCUUCCACAUCCGACCCGACCCGACCCGCCCGAUUGCCACCCCUAGUCUAGGAAAAAGUGCACGGUUAGCCACUAAAUAGCGAUGUUUUUACUCUUAACUUCAUGUGAAUGUUAAGGACAUAUGUGCUUGAUCCGCUUAACUUCAUAUGUGCAAUGUAAAUGUUAAGGACAUGGCGUCCUUGUGAUGACCCAAAAUGUCAUAUUUAAUUUAAACAUUUAUUUCUGUGUUCUAAGACAUCAAAAAGGACUAUUUAUCAUUUUUCGACUUACGUGUGUAGUCUUUAUAAUUUUCUGAAAAGUUUUUAUGUGAAACAUUGAUUAAAAUAUGAAAUGGUGCUCCAAAACUCAUCUAAGUAGACAUUGGUCAACAUUUUAAGCAAACAGACUCGGAUUAGUAUUUUGACAGCUCCGGUAGGUUCAUAUCGUGAUUUGGGACUUGGACGUAUGCCCGGAAUUAAAUUUGAAGGUCCCUAGCUCAAACUAUCGCCAUUUAACGAAAACUAAAAAUCUAAAGGCUAAACAUUUCUAAAGUUUGACCGCGGAGUUGACUUUAUUGAUAUCGGGGUCGAAAUCCAAUUUCAAAAAUUAGAAUAGGUCUGUUAUAUCAUUUAUGACUUGUGUGCAAAAUGUGAGGCCAAUCGGACUUGAUUUGAUAGGUUUCGGCGUUGAAUGUAGAAGUUAAAAGUUCUUAGUUUCAUUAGGCUUGGAUUGGGGUAUAAUUCAUGGUUUUAGCAUUGUUUGAUGUGAUUUGAGGUUUAGACUAAGUUCGUAUGAUAUUUUAGGACUGGUUGGUAUAUUUGGUUGAGGUCCUGGGGGCCUCGGGUGAGUUUCAGAAGGUUAAUGGAUCGCAAUUUGGACUUAAACAGUUGCUGCCUGCUGGAAAUUUUAGUCUUCUAGUGCAAUCACACCUGCAGAAUUUAGCUCGCAGGUUUGGGCUGAGGUCGAGCUCGCGACCAGGCAUGGGCCGAGGUCGAGGUCACGACCAAACAUGGGCCGAGGUCGAGGUCGAAGAAGCGAGCAGUUGAGGCCGAGGUCGCGACCAAGCAUGAGUUGAGGGCGGGGUCGCAAAAGCGAGCAGUUGAGGCCGAGGUCGCAGAAGCAAAAAGCCCUGGACAGAACAUAUUAAUUCGGGGGUUGACCAUUUUUACCCAUUUUUGGAUUUUAAGAGCUCGGGUGAGGCGAUUUUCAGGAGAUGUUUCAAGAAAAAUAUUGGGGUAAAUGUUCUUUAUCCUAUAUUGAUUAUAAUUCACGAUUCCAUACUCAUUUACAUCAUGAAUCCGUGAAUUUAUGGAAGAAAUAAAAUCUUCAAAAAACGAAAUCUAAGAUUUAAAGGUCCAUUUGACAUCGGAAUUUGAUAAUUUUUGUAUGUUUGAACUCGUAUCGGAACGAGUGUUUGGAUUUCGUGAGUUUUUCAGGAUUCGAGAUGCGGGUCCCACUAUCGAUAUUUUUUAAAAAGAAAGUCAGAUUUUAAUCCGAAAAAUUAAUAAAUUCAUAUGGAAUUAAUUUCUACAAUUCGUGUUGAGUAUAUUAAAUUGUUUGUGACUAGAUUUGAAGCUUUCAGAGAUGAAUUCGCGAGGCAAAGGUGUAUUGAAAUCUUAAAAUUUGGUUUCGAAGCGAGAUAAGUGUUGUGGUUAACCUUGACUUGAGGGAAUAAAACCCUUGAAUUAUUUGUUAUGUAAAUUUCAUAUGUAACGAUGUAUAGGUGAGGUGACGAGUGCCUAUACGUUGUCAAAUUGAUUAUUUGCCUAUUUAUCAGAAAAAUCAUAAAUUAAUUUAAAUCAUGAAAUAAUUAUUAUAUUAAUUAUUUCUCUGAUAUUCCUUGUCCAAUAUUAUGUCUUAAAUUCAUGCUAUAAUUUCUAUAUGCUUAUUUGGCUUAUGUGUCUCAAUUGCUACUUGACAUUUAGCAUAUUAAAUAUUAAAUUACCUAUUUUUUCUCUGAUUUUCAUAAUUAAUUGCUACAUGUCAUUAUUUGUUUCAUAAAUAAAUUAUAAUUAUUGUAUGCCUUGUUGCUUAAUAAUUUCUCAUUNNNNNNNNNAAAUUAUAUUGCUGGAGCGGGUUGCACGCCGCAACGGAAAUAAAAAUGAAUAUAUUGGGGGAUCGGGUUGCACGCCACAAUAAAUUAAUUUAAAGUUUAUAUUGCUGGAGCGGGUUGCACGCCGCAACGGGAUUUAAUUGAAAGGUUAUAUUGUUGGAUCGGGUUGCACGCCGCAACGGAUUUUAUUCUAAGUUUAUAUUGUUGGAGCAGGUUGCACGCCGCAACAGAAAUAAAUUGGGGGAUUAUGACUGCUGAAUUGACUUCAAUUAUUGAUAUUAUUUACCGGUCUUACUUCUAUUCCUGUUAUUGUUAUUAUUACUGCGUACAUGUUAAUGCAAGUGACCUGUCUUAGCCUCGUCACUACUUCGUCGAGGUUAGGCUCGAAACUUACUGAGUACAUGGGGUCGGUUUCUCUCAGACAACUUCAUUUUAUUCAGACCUUUAUUUGUAUUAUUCUAGUAGCUCGUGCACUUAUGACACCAAAUUCGAGGAUGUAUUUGGAUAAUACGUUUGUUAUGGUCUUCCGCACUUUAUUUUAGUAAUGGACUCCUGUUUAAUUUAAUUUGUUUAGAAAUGGCUAACAUUAUUCUAACGUUGGCUUGCCUAGCAAGUGAAAUGUUAGGCGUAUCACGGUCCCGAAGGUGAGAAUUUUGGGUCGUGACAAGUUGGUAUCAGAGAACUAGGUUACUUAGGUCUCACGAGUCACGAGCAAGCUUAGUAGAGUCUGAAGGAUCGGUACGGAGACGUCUGUACUUAUCUGUUAGAGGCUAUGAAGUUUAGGAACAAUAUCACUUCUUUCUUAUCCUGUCGUGCUAUUUUAUUCUAUCAUCGAUUAUUGAACCAUUCUAUUCUUAUUCUCUCGCAGAUGGUGAGAACACGUAAUACAUCUACUGACGGACAAGGACCAGAUCCCCCGGUGGCAACUAUGACCAGGGGUAGAGUCCGAGGCAGAGGCAGAGGUAGAGGUAGAGGUAGAUCUCAGUCUAAAGCUCGAGCAGCAGCACCUGUUAUAGAACCUCAUGUGCAUCUUCAGGAGGAGGUUCCAGUUCAGACUGUACCGGUUGGACCAGUUCAGGUCCCAGAAGGAUUCAUAGCUACUCCAGUGCUUCAGGACGCUCUAGUCCAUUUGGUAAGUCUUAUGGAGGGCGUGGCCCAGAAUGGUACAUUUCCAGCGGCACCAGCCGUCUCACAGGCUGGGGGAAGAGCACAGACUCCCACUACUCCCACUUUGGAGCAAAUGGCUCCCCAGUAUUAGGCUCCAGCAGGCCCGCCGGUUAGGGUAGUUCAGCCAGUUGUUGCGACAUAGGCCGGUGAUAGGCCUACCAUGUCUUCUGAGGCUUUAUUGAGGUUGGACAAGUUUACUAAGCUCUUUUCAGUUCACUUUAGUGGUACAACUUCUGAGGACCCGCAGGAUUAUCUUGACCGCUGCUAUGAGGUGUUGCAGAACAUGGGUAUAGUUGAGACUAAUGUGGUCGAUUUUGCAGUAUUUCAGAUGACGGGUUCCGCCAAGAGGUGGUGGAGAGAUUAUAUGUNNNNNNNNNNNNNNNNNNNNNNNNNNNNNNNNNNNNNNNNNNNNNNNNNNNNNNNNNNNNNNNNNNNNNNNNNNNNNNNNNNNNNNNNNNNNNNNNNNNNNNNNNNNNNNNNNNNNNNNNNNNNNNNNNNNNNNNNNNNNNNNNNNNNNNNNNNNNNNNNNNNNNNNNNNNNNNNNNNNNNNNNNNNNNNNNNNNNNNNNNNNNNNNNNNNNNNNNNNNNNNNNNNNNNNNNNNNNNNNNNNNNNNNNNNNNNNNNNNNNNNNNNNNNNNNNNNNNNNNNNNNNNNNNNNNNNNNNNNNNNNNNNNNNNNNNNNNNNNNNNNNNNNNNNNNNNNNNNNNNNNNNNNNNNNNNNNNNNNNNNNNNNNNNNNNNNNNNNNNNNNNNNNNNNNNNNNNNNNNNNNNNNNNNNNNNNNNNNNNNNNNNNNNNNNNNNNNNNNNNNNUCUAGCAGGGUAGUAUGAUUUUUACUCAGUACGAGACCCGCUUUGUGGAUAUAGCCUGUCAUGCUCUCCUUUUACUUCCUACUGAGGGAGAGAGCAUGAGGAGAUUUGUUGAUGGACUCACUCACCCUAUCAGGCUUCAGAUGGCCAAGGAGACUGAAAGUGAUAUUUUCUUUCAGGCGACUGCUAAUGUUGCUAGGAGGAUCGAGACGGUUCUUGCACAAGAGAGAAGGCAGGUGUAUGAUAAAAGACCUCGACAUUCCGAUAAUUUUAGAGGCGCCUCAUUUGGAGGCAGGGGUACUUAUGGUAGGGGUCAUCCUCCCAGGCCAUUUUAUUCAGCACUUCAGGCAUCUCACGGUGCUUCAAGGAGUCAUGGUCCUGUUAUGCCUUACUCUGGGCAACCGACAUUUAGUGCACAUCCAACUCCUAUCAGUGCACCACCGCUCCAGAGUCACUACAACGGUUAUCCGGCUCAUUCGGGUCAGCUUCAGCUUCAGCAGCCACAACAACAAGAUGGGUGUUAUGAGUGUGGGAACAUUGGUCACAUCAGGAGUUAUUAACCUAGGUUGUUGAGCAACAGAUCUCAGCAGGAUUCUCGUGCCAUCAUACCGGCACCAGUUGCUCCACCGCCCGCCCGGCUAGCUAGGGGCAGGGGUCAGACAGCUAGAGGUAGAGGUCAGGUUGUUAGACGUGGAGGCCAACCAGUUAGAGGCCGUCCCAUAGAUGUAGCUACGAGUGGUGGGGCCCAGCCCCGAUUUUAUGCUUUUCCAACUAGGCCUAAGGCCGAGUCAUCUGAUGCCGUGAUCACAGGUAUUAUUCCAGUUUUCCAUAGAGAUGCUUCCGUUUUAUUUUAUCCAGGAUCUACUUAUUCCUAUGUGUCCUCCUACUUUGCUUCAUAUUUGGUUGUGCCUCUUGAUUCUUUAAGUGCUUCUAUGCACGUGUCCACACCGGUGGAGGAUUCUAUCGAUGUUGAUCAUGUCUAUCAUUCGUGCGUGGUUACUAUUGGGAGUCUUGAGACUAGCGUGAAUCUUCUACUUCUUGAUAUUGUAGAUUUUGAUGUCAUCUUGGGUAUGGAUUGGCUGUCACCUUAUCAUGCUAUAUUGGAUUGUCAUGCCAAAACAAUGACUUUAGCUAUGCCAGGGUUACCUCGAUUAGAGUGGAAAGGAACUCCUGAUCAUUCUACCAGCAAGAUUAUUUCUUAUAUGAAGGCUCACCGUAUGGUCGAGAAGGGGUGCCUAGCCUAUUUGACUUAUAUUCGCGAUUCCAGUACGGAUGUUCCUUCUAUGGACUCAGUACCAGUUUUUCGUGAAUUUCCAGAAGUAUUUCCUGCAGAUUUGCCGGGGAUACUACCCGAUAGAGAUAUUGACCUCUGUAUUGAUUUGGCUCCGGGAACCUAGCCCAUUUCUAUUCCACCAUACCGUAUGGUCCCGUCGGAGCUAAAGGAAUUGAAAGAGCAAUUACAAGACUUGCUUGAUCAGGGAUUCAUUAGACCUAGUGUCUCGCCCUGGGGUGCACCAGUGUUAUUUGUAAAGAAGAAAGAUGGUUCAAUGCGGAUGUGUAUAGAUUAUCGGCAGUUGAACAAGAAUACUAUCAAGAACAAGUAUCCAUUGCCAAAAAUUGAUAACUUAUUCGAUCAGCUUCAGGGUGCCAAGGUAUUUUCAAAGAUUGAUUUGAGGUAUGGUUACCAUCAGUUGAAGAUUAGGGCAUCUGAUGUCCCUAAGACAGCUUUUCGGACUUGGUAUGGGCAUUACGAUUUCCUAGUGAUGUCAUUUGGGCUGACAAAUGCCCCAGCAACAUUUAUGAAUUUGAUGAAUCGGGUAUUCAAGCCCUAUUUGUUGUAUUCAUUGAUGAUAUCUUGAUUUACUCAAGCAGGCGAGAGGAGCAUGAGCAACAUCUUCAGAGUAUGCUUCAGACUUUGAAAAAUAAUUAGUUAUAUGCCAAAUUUUCAAAAUGUGAAUUUUGGUUAGACUCAGUUACCUUUUGGGGGUAUGUUGUAUCGGUAUAAGGCAUAAAAGUGGAUCCUAAGAAGAUUGAGGUUGUUCAGAAUUGGCCUAGCCCUACUUCAGCUACAGAGAUCCGGAGUUUCCUGGGUUUGGCAGGUUAUUAUCACCGGUUUGUGGAGGGUUUUUCAUCUAUAGCAUCUCCAUUGACCAAAUUAACCCAGAAAGGUGCCCCAUUCAGAUGGUCAGACGAGUGUGAGUUGAGUUUUUAGAAGCUCAAGACCUUUUUGACUACAACGCCAGUGUUGGUAUUACCUACAGGUUCAGGAUCGUAUACGGUAUAUUGUGAUGCAUCUCGCAUUGGGCUUGGUGCAGUAUUGAUGCAAGAUGGCUGUGUGAUUGCAUAUGCAUCGCGGCAGUUGAAAGUUCACGAGAAGAAUUAUCAUGUUCAUGACUUAAAAUUGGCAGCCAUUGUUCAUGCACUGAAGAUUUGGAGGCAUUACCUUUACGGUGUCUCGUGUGAGGUAUUUACUGAUCAUCGUAGCUUACAAUAUCUGUUCAAACAAAAAUAUCUCGAUUUGAGGCAGAGAAGAUGGUUGGAGUUGUUGAAAGACUAUAAUAUCACCAUUUUGUAUCACCCCGGAAAGGCCAAUGUGGUGGCCGAUGCUUUGAGUAGAAUGGUUGUGAGUAUGGGCAGCCUUGCGUAUAUUUCGGUUGGUAAGAGGUCGUUAGUUACAGAUGUUUAGACUUUGGCCAAUCAGUUCGUGAGGUUAGACGUUUCAGAGCCCAGUAGAGUUCUAGCUAGCACAGCCGCUCGGUCUUCUUUAUAUGAGCGCAUCAGGGAGCGGCAGUAUGAUGAUCUUCAUAUGCUUGUCCUUAAGGACACGAUGCGGCACGGUGAUGCCAAACAUGUUGUUGUGGGGGAAGAUGGAGUUCUGCGAAUGCAUGGUCGUAUUUGUGUGCCUAAUAUGGAUGGGCUUCGUGAAUUAAUUCUUGAGGAGGCACACAGUUCCAGGUAUUCUAUUUAUCCAGGUGCCGCCAAAAUAUAUCAAGAUUUACGACAAUAUUAUUGGUCGAGGAGAAUGAAGACAGAUAGUUGCAUAUGUAACUCGGUGUCUAAAUUAUCAGCAAGUCAAGUACGAGCAUCAAAGACCUGGUGGUUUGCUUUAGAAGUUAGAAAUUCCUGAGUGGAAGUGGGAGCGUAUCACUAUGGAUUUUGUUCUUGUGCUUCCACGGACUCAGAGAAAGUUCAAUGCAGUUUGGGUCAUUAUGGACAGGUUGACCAAGUCAGCACAUUUCAUUCUAGUAGUUGUUACCUAUUCUUCAGAGCGAUUAGCGGAGAUUUACAUCUGUGGGAUUAUACGCCUUCACGGUGUGCCCGUGUCUAUCAUAUCCGAUCGAGGUACGCAGUUCACCUCUCACUUCUAGAGGGUUGUACAAUGUGAUUUAGACACGCGGAUUGAGUUGAGUACAUCAUUUUAUCCACAGAUAGACGGACAGUCAGAGCGCAUUAUUCAGAUAUUGGAAGAUAUGCUUCGCGCUUGUGUUAUAGACUUUGGAGGUUCUUGGGAUCAGUUCUUGUCACUUGUGGAGUUUUCCUAUAAUAACAGCUACUAGUCGAGCAUUCAGAUGGCUUUGUAUGAAGCAUUAUACGGGAGGCGAUGUCGUUCGCCAGUUGGCUGGUUUGAACCAGUAGAGGCUCGGUUGUUGGGUACCGAUUUGGUACAGGAUGCCUUGUAAUGACCUGACCGGUCGUUUUGAGCAUUUACACUUCGCUCGAUUGUUUGAGGGCAUGAGUAGCUCCUUAUGAUGUAAUAUAACUUAUGCGAAUCGUCAGNNNNNNNNNNNNNNNNNNNNNNNNNCCUUGGAUAAGGUCAAGAUUAUUCAGGAUCGACUUCGCACAGCUCAGUCUAGGCAAAAGAGUUAUGUCGACCGUAAAGUUCGUGAUAUUGCAUUCAUGGCAGGAGAAAGAGUAUUGCUCCGGGUUUCACCUAUGAAAGGUGUAAUGAGAUUCGGAAAGAAGGGCAAGUUGAGCCCUAGGUAUAUCGGACCCUUUGAAAUUCUUGAACGGGUGGGUGAAGUAGCCUACAGGCUUGCACUAUCACCUAGUUUAUCAGCAGUUUAUCCGGUGUUACAUGUGUCUAUGCUCUAGAAAUAUCAUGGUGAUCUGUCUCAUGUAUUAGAUUUCAGCUCAGUCCAAUUGGACAAAGAUUUGAUUUAUGAGGAGGAGCUGGUAGCUAUUCUAGGUCAGCUGGUCCGACAAUUGAGGUCUAAGAGUUAUCCUUCAGUUCGGGUUCAAUGGAGAGGUCAGCCAGUAGAAGCAUCUACCUGGGAGUCCGAGUCGGACAUGCAGAGAUAUCCACACCUUUUCACCAGCUCAGGUAAUUUUCUAAUUCCGUUUGAGGACGAACGUUUGUUUUAGAGGUGGAGAAUGUGAUGACCCAAAAUAUCAUAUUUAAUUUAAACAUUCAUUUAUGUGUUCUAAGACCUCAAAAAGUACUAUUUAUCAUUCCUCGACUUGCGUGCACAGUCCGUAUAAUUUUUGGGAAAGUUUUUAUGUAAAACAUUAAUUAAAAUGUGAAAUAGUGCUUCAAAACUCAUCCAAGUUGACUUUGGUCAACAUUUUGAGCAAAUGAACUCGGAUCAGUAUUUUAACAACUCCGGUAGGUUCAUAUCGUGAUUUGGGACUUGGGCGUAUGCCCAGAAUUAAAUUCGGAGGUUCGUAGCUCAAAUUAUUGCCAUUUAACGAAAACUAGAAAUCUAAAGGCUAAAAAAUUCUAAAGUUUGACCGCGGAGUUGACUUUAUUGAUAUCAAGGCCGGAAUCCAAUUUUGAAAAUUGAAAUAGGUCCGUUAUGUCAUUUAUGACUUGUGUGCAAAAUUUGAGGUCAAUCGAACUUGAUUUGAUAGGUUUCGGCGUUGAAUGUAGAAGUUCAAAGUUCUUAGUUUUAUUAAGCUUGCAUUGGGGGUAUAAUUCAUAGUUUUAGCGUUGUUUGAUGUGAUUUGAGGUUUUGACUAAGUUCGUAUAAUGUUUUAGGACUGGUUGGUGUAUUUAGUUGAGGUCCCAGGGGGCUCUGGUGAGUUUCAGAAGGUUAACGGAUCGAAAUUUGGACUUAAACUGUUGCUGGAAAUUUUAGUCUUUUGGUGCAAUUGCACCUGCAGAAUUUAGCUCGCAGGUUUGGGCUGAGGUCGAGGUCAAGGUCGCGACCAGGCAUGGGUCGAGGUCGAGGUCGCGACCAGGCAUGGGCCGAGGUCAAGUUUGCGACCAGGCAUGGGCCGAGGUCGAGGUCGUGACCAGGCAUGGGCCGAUGUCGCGACCAGGCAUGGGCCGAGGUCGAGGUCGCGACCAAGCAUGGGUCGAGGUCGAGGUCGCGACCAAGCAUGGGCCGAGGUUGAGGUCGAAGAAGCGAGCAGUUGAGGCCGAGGUCGCGACCAGACAUGAGUUGAGGCCAAGGUUGCAGUAGCGAUUAGACAUGAGUUGAGGCCGAGGUCGAAGAAGCGAAAAGCCCUGGACAGAACAUAUAAAUUCGGGGGUUGACCAUAUUUACCCAUUUUUGGAUUUUAAGAGCUCGGGUGAGGCAAUUUUCAGGAGAUUUUUCAAGGAAAACAUUGGAGUAAGUGUUCCUUAUCCUAUAUUGAUUAUAAUUCAUGAUUCCAUACUCAUUUACAUCAUGAAUCCGUGAAUUUAUGGAAGAAAAAUCAGAUUUAUAUUUAUAAAAUCUUUCAAAAACGAAAUCUAAGAUUUGAAGGUCCAUUUGACAUCGGAAUUUGAUAAUUUUUAUAUAGUUGAACUCGUAUCAGAACGGGUGUUCGUAUUUUGUAAGUUUUUUCGGGAUUCGAGAUGCGGGUCCUACUGUCAAUAUUUUUUAAAAUAAAUUUCGGAUUUUAAUCCAGAAAAUUAAUAAAUUCAUAUGGAAUUAUUUUCUAUGAUUCGUGUUGAGUAUAUUGAAUUGUUUGUGACUAGAUUUGAAGCUUUCGGACACGAAUUCGCGAGGAAAAGGUGUAUUGAAAUCUUGAAAUUUGGUUUUGAAGCGAGGUGAGUGUCGUGGUUAACCUUGACUUGAGGGAAUAGAACCCUUGAAUUAUUUGUUACGUUAAUUUCAUGUGUAACAACGUAUAGGCGAGGUGACGAGUGCCUAUACGUUGUCAAAUUGAUUAUUUGCCUAUUUAUCAGAAAAAUUAUAAAUUAAUUUAAAUCAUGAAUUAAUUAUUAUAUUAAUUAUUUCUCUCAUAUUCCUUGUCCAAUAUUAUGUCUUGAAUUCAUGCUAUAAUUGCUGCAUGCUUAUUUGACUUAUGUGUCUCAAUUGCUACUUGACAUUUAGCAUAUUAAAUAUUAAAUUGCCUAUUUUUUCCCUGAUUUUCACAAUUAAUUGCUACAUGUCAUUAUUUGUUUCAUAAAUAAAUUAUAAUUAUUGUAUGCCUUGUUUCUUAAUAAUUUCUUAUUGAACGUGGUAUUUAUUGUAGUAUUUUUAUUACAUUUAAGAGUUGUUAAAUUAUAUUGCUGGAGCGGGUUGCACGCCGCAACAGAAAUAAAAAUGAAUAUAUUGGGGGAUCGGGUUGCACGUCGCAACAGAUUUAUUUAAAGUUUAUAUUGUUGGAGCGGGUUGCACGCUGCAACGGAAUUUAAUUGAAAAGUUAUAUUAUUGGAUCGGGUUGCACGCCGCAACGAAAAUAAAUUGGGGGAUUAUGACUGUUGAAUUGACUUCAAUUAUUGAUAUUAUUUACCGGUCUUACUUCUAUUCCUGUUAUUGUUAUUAUUACUGCGUACAUGUUAAUGCAAGUGACCUGUCUUAGCCUCGUCACUACUUCGUCGAGGUUAGGUUCGAAACUUACUGAGUACAUGUGGUCGGUUUUACCCAUACUACACUCUACACUUAUUAUGCAGAUAUCGGAGUUGGUCCAGCGGCGUACAAUAGAUUUGCUCGGAUUCAGCUAUUCGCAGGAGACUUGAGGUAUAACUGCAUGACGUUCGUAGUUCUGAAGUCCCCUUCCACUUUAUCGUAGCUGUAUAUUUCUCUCAAACAGCUUCAUUUUAUUCAGACCUUUAUUUGUAUUAUUCUAAUAGCUCGUGCACUUGUGACACCAGAUUCGGGGAUGUAUUUGGAUAAUUCGUUUGUUAUGGUCUUCCGCACUUUAUUUCAGUAAUGGAUUUCUAUUUAAUUUAAUUUAUUUAGAAAUGGCUAAGAUUAUUCUAACGUUGGCUUGCCUAGCAAGUGAAAUGUUAGGCGCCAUCACGGUCCCGAAGGUGGAAAUUUCGGGUCGUGACAGUCCUUUACUUCAUGUGUGUAGUGUAAAUGUUAAGGACAUAAUGUCCUUAACUUAUAAAUACACAUUCUGUUGUUAAACUUUAGGACCUCAUGUCCUUAACUUCAUAUGUGUAGUGUAAAUAUUAAGUACACGGUGUUCUUAACUUUAUGUGUGCAAUGUAAAUAUUAAGGACAUAUUGUCCUUAACUUUAUGAGUGUUGUGUAAAUAUUAAGGACAUGGUGUCCUUAACUUCAUGAAUGCCGUGUAAAUAUUAAGGACAAAGUGUCCUGUAUUUGUACCUUCCGUUGUUAAACUUUAGGACAUCAUAUCCUUAACUUCAUAUGUGCAGUGUAAAUGUUAAGGACAUGCGUUCUUAACUUCAUAUGUGCCGUGUAAAUGUUAAGGACACCACGUCCUUAAUAUUUACACAACACUCAUGAAGAAAGAGUAAAAUAUCUUUUCGUAUUAAUUUUAAUAGAGUAGUGGCUAUUUUUGCUCACCAUUAAAAAUACUGGAUAAAAACUAAAUACCAUGUUAAAAAGUGGCUAUCCCACGCCAUUUCUAACCUAGUCCAUCCCAUGAAGUCCAAUGGGUUUCUGUGCUCUUUAUGUAUGUCUCCCAAGAGAGGCCCAGCAAAUAGUCUGGAAUCAAGCCCAACAAAUUCAAGAACACUAUUACAUGUCGUCUUGGCCCAAAAUUCUCAGAUCAUCAUCAUUGCAACGCCGCGCUUUAUCUCCUCUUCUGCAACUCUCUCUCUCUCUCUCUCUCUCUCUCUCUCUCUCUCAGUCGCACUAACUCCAUGGGCUCAGCUUCUGCACUCUCUCUAUGCUCUCACUCAACGGUAAACCCAUUCUCUACCUUCUACCUCAUCCAUUUACUAUAAAUAAACUAAAUUCUCAAACAAAAAUUAAAAUCUAAUUUCCCCUCUCUUUUUUUGUGGUAAAUUUUAGGUGAAUUUUGAAUUUCAUCGGAGAAAACUAGGGUUUGGAAGGGACCAAGCAUUGAACAGCUCGUACAGCAGCUACGUUUUGCUUCCUAUAUCGCCGUCACUGUAUUUUAGUAGUAGUUGUAGUAGAAGUAAAUGCUUGCAAUUGAAACGGGUAAUUGUUCGAGCUUCCUCGUCUAGUAGUACCGGUUCGAGACGUUCGUCGAGUUCUCGGAGAGUUUACAAGGAAUCACAAGCUCAAGCGCCAACAUUACCUGUUGAUCAAAUUGCUUCUUUUGUUGUGCCCGCCGGUGCUUUUGUGGUUAUCUCUUUUGGUAUUCACAUUUUGCCUUCUUUUUAUCUUUUUUUGUACUGGAUUUAGUGUUUGCUAAUCUUUUACGAAGACUACUGGAUUGAAGCGGAAUGGAUAUAGAAGAUGAGUUUUUACACUCAGUGUAGAUUUUUGAUCAGGUAUAGUAAUAUUUCAUGAAUAGAAGCAUCCAGAGGAUCCAGAAACUGAUAACAAAAGAGAUAAAUCUCCCUGCAAAACAUACAACCAUAUCCACCGAAAUACUCAUGGAGCUUAGAAAAUCAAGAAAUAAAAUAGGAUUAUCUACAUCAAAAUGGUUCCCUCAAACAAAAUAUUUAAGCAAACAUCUUUUACGUCAACUAUCAAUGUAGUUUAACCUGUGAUUGUAGGUUACUUACCUUUUUACCAAUUAAUAUUUUGCGUAGAGAUUUGCUUGGAUAAUCUAAUAAGUGACCUGGUUGUAUAAAUAUCUUUUAAUCCAUCAAUUUAACGAACUUAAACUCUUUACACGAGUAGUUUGCGUUUUGUGUACUUUUAGCUUUAGUUAAUACUAGUAAGUAUACCAAGAAUCACAAUUCAAAGAAGUUUACAUAUAGGUCAUUAAGAUGAGAUGUAUCUAUUGUUUCUGAGAGUAUGAAUAUCUUUUAACUUAAUUUUUUAAUAGGGUCUCUCUCUCACUGCCUUUUACUUUCAAUCUAACUUUUACACCUUACAACUUUGUUGAAAUACUGUCGGUGUAGCGGAUGCCGUAAUGAGAAUUGAGAAGAAUUGGAAAAAAUUUCAAAGGAAGAUUGCUAUUGGAUUUUUGAAGCAGGAUUAAAAAUAAUAAGCUCAAGUGUAUGUUUUCCAUUGUUUAGGUGUUUAUUAUUGUCUUUUUAUGUUCUGUUUAAUUUCUUGAGAUCACAAUUCCAUCUUUUCGCAUCAGCUUAAACUCAAUAUCAAUGUACCUUAUAACUUUUGCAAACUAAAUAAAAUUUGCUCGUUGUUGUUCUUGCAUUCUUGCUUUUUUCCUCUUCGCCAUGCCAAAUUAGUGGUCUAGGAAAGGCUUUAAUAUUUAGGGUAGGGGGAAAAUGUAAAUGGUGUUCCAAUUUAGGCAGAUGCUGGAGAUUGGCACUAGUCAAGGAAAUAAGUGCAAACUUUUGAGACUAGGGUUCAAAUCUCAGCAGAGACAACACUGAGUGAUUUCUUCCAAUCUGGCUAUGCCUUAGUGGAUAGAGUUACUCAGUACAUGUGCUGAUAGAAGGUGAUAGGUACCCAAUUGAAUAGUCGGUGUGUGCACAAGCUAGCCCAAACACCAUCAUUAUCCCAGUGAAAUCUUUACCAUUCUCCCAAAAGAAAAAACAAUCAAUGAAUGCUUGAAUAGGUCAGGCUUCAUGCGGUAUCCAAAAAGAAAGGAAGGCUUUCAUGAGGUCUUGUGAGAAACUUUUCUACUUAAUAAUGAAGUUUCAAAUUAUCUGAGUGCUUGGCACUAUGGUCAGACUCAGUAGUUCACCUAUGAAGCUAAAGUCUUUAAAGCAGUACAUCCUGCGGUAAAUCACCCUCUUUUUAUUAAGUUGUUUAUGAUUAAGAUUUAAGAAAAUAAGUGAACAGAAAAGAGCUUGUAAUUGUCUUCGCAUUUAGGCUCACAUUUAGAACUUAGAAGUGCAGCACGUGUGUUCAAACUCAAACUUACAGUCAUUAAUUCCAGUUAGCUCGUUUUUGGUGUCCCAGCUUCUAUUUUUGGUGUCUAUGGCUAGAAAGGAAUAGCAGAUGCUUCGAAGGAAACUCUUCUUCUAUUCAUGCUUUGAAGUAUUGAUGCCUUACAAUACUUUUUGCUGGAGUAAACAUCACACUGUAAAUGUUUUUGAUCAGCUUUUUGACUUUAUUAGCUCUUUAGAAGGCAUAUAGGAUGAUCACUGUUUCAGGAGCUAUUGCUUCUUUUUUUCUAUUCUUUUACUUGCAAUUCUCAGCAUCUACUGGGUGCAUUUUUAAUUAAUACAUCUUACUUGAUCAAAAAAAUUCCAGUUAGCUUGUUACAGCAAAAUAGGAUUGCCGUUUUCAUUUUUUAGGACUUUGUAUCAUUUUAAAUGUUUCAGUGCAUUUAUUCCCAUGAAUGGAUUGUGUACUUUGACAUUUUGACCUACCUCUUAUUUAGUUGGCAAUCUGUUGCAACCAUUUAAUUGUUUCUUUUUCUUAAUUAUCUAAUAUGGGUUAGCCAUUGGAAAAUGUAUAUCCCCUCUAAGUCAGCGAUUUCUCUUACAGCUUUUGAGGAAUAGAUGAUGCAACAGCUUCACUAAUUCAUUCUUUGAACUAACUCUUUUCUUGUAAUGAGGCUUGCUCAAGAUGACCUUUAAGUCUGGUUGUCAUCUUUUAGUUGUCAACUAUAGUUUUAUUCUUGAUGGGAUUGCCGUUAGUUCAAAAAAAUUCCAGUUAGCUCGUUACAGCGAAAUAGGAUUGCCGUUUUCAUUUUUUAGCACUUUGUAUCAUUUUAAAUAUUUCGGUGCGUUUAUUCCCAUGAAUGGAUUGUGUACUUUGACAUUUUGACCCGCCUCUUAUUUAGUUGGCAAUCUGUUGCAGUCAUUUAAUUGUUUCUUUUUCUUAAUUAUCUAAUAUAGGUUAGCCAUUGGAAAAUGUAUAUCCCCUCUAAGUCAGCGAUUUCUCUUACAGCUUUUGAGGAAUAGAUGAUGCAACAGCUUCAUUAAUUCAUUCCUUGAACUAACUCUUUUGUUAUAAUGAGGCUUGCUCAAGAUGACCUUAAGUCUGGUUGUCAUCUUUUAGUUGUCAACUUUAGUUCUAUUCUUGACGGACAUGUCGUGUGUGAUGACUUGUCCCACAUUUUAUGCAGUCUUCAUUUGACUGUCUCCUGAAAGUCAAGAGAAUCAGGAAGGGGAGUAUUCUUCUUAAUUAUGUAAUUGCUAGAAAUUAAUAGAACUUUUAAAUUUUGUUAAAGCUAUUAGAGAAAGCGUCUUUAUUUAUCUUUAUAUCUACACAUGUCCCCUCACUUGCGGGACUAGCUCUUUUCCAAGAGCCAAGUACAUGAAAAUUCAUUGUGAUACAAGUGGUGGUGAAACUUGAACUCAGGACCUUUGCCUGCUCUAAUAUAAUGUUGAACCAUAUAAUCACUUCAUCUAUAGUCCAUACCCUCAAUAAUGUGGAAUUCUUACCAGAAUCAUUAGUAAUUGUGAAAAAUAUUCUUAAUGAUAAUGUCAUAAUAUUUUAAGAAUUCCAAAAGCUAGAAAAUCUAAUGUAAUGUAGGCUAAACAUCCUAUAUAAGGAGCCAUGUUGUGUUCUGUUAAGAAUUAUUUUUUCCAAAGAUUUCUUCUUUUUCCCUUUUCAAGUGUUACAUAUCUUAGCAAGGGCUUAAAUAAUUUCUGCCUAUCGACGUGUCGCAGUAUACGGCCAGCCCGACCGACAUUCCUUUUUUUUUUGUGUGUGUUUUACUAAUCGUGCCUCUUUCUUAUUGAUCCUUCUGGUGUCACUUUCUUUUUGAUAGCUGUUCUGGUGUUAUCGUGUCUUUCUGAUGGCACCACAACUUUUCUAGUACUUUAUAGGUUACUAUUUAGUGCCAGUUCGAGUUGCAUCAUUGAUGUCCUAGAGAUUUACCUGACCUUAUUUCUUUUUCGUAGACAGUAAUUCCUUGUCAUGCGUGCUGCAAGAAGCACUUUCUUUCGCUAUGCAAUUACUAGUAACUUUUCAGGAGAAAAAAAUUCCACCACUGCCUUCUCAUUUUGGUGAUCGUUUUCUACUGACAGGACAUUCAGCAACUAUUUCCUCCAGUGACUUUUUGGUAUUUCUUCUUGAGAAAUAUCAAGUUAUUUCACCAUUUUGAAUUUGAAGAGGCAUGUUUAAGUCGAGAGAAUCGUUUAAAAUAUUGUUAAUUUUUUUAGUGAUUAUGUUAUUCUUGAAAGUCAAGUGAAUCAAUACUAAUAUUGUCUAAGAUUUUCUUAAUCAUUAUGUUAUAUUAAUUAGAAUCCUAAAGUUAGUAAACUUCCUUCUUAAUGUUUUUUAUGGUUUAAACUUCCUAAAUCUUACUUAAUAUACCUCAACACAUUUAGAUAAGGAGUUCUCUUAUAUGCGGUUAACCUUUGAUUUCAAAAAGAGUUUAUUUCUCCUUUUUUUACACCGUCUCCGAGGGUUUACUGGAAAUAACCUCCCUAUCUUCAUAAGGUAGGGGUAAGGUCUGCGUACAUACUAUUCUCCCCAGAUCCCACUUGUGGGAUUACGAUGGGUUUGUUGUUGUUGUUGUUGUUUUUUACACUGUCAAAUUCUUAUAAACAAUUCAUCAAGCACUUAUUUUAUUGCUUCUAAUUAAUUCUAGCUUUUAGAGUUUUUUACAUUCUCAACUUUAUCAAAAAAGAGGUCUACAUUCCCAAGAGCUCUUUCUACAACAACAAUAACAACAAACCCAAUCUAAUCCCACAAGUGGGGUUUGGGGAGGUUAGUGUGUACUCAGACCGUACCUCUUCUUCAAAAAAGAAUUGAUGAAGCUGCUUAACUCUGCAUCUUCAGAAAGAAUAAAGUUCUUAGUUCUACCACAUUGUUUCACUGGUUCCACCAUUGACUAUAGGCCCUUGCCAUCUUCUAUAGCUACUCCUUUCUCUUUGUACUUGUUACAAGUAGUAUCCUUUGAUUCCUUUCUACUUUAGCCGGUGAUUUCUUUUCUGGAGGUUGAGUCCUUGUAUGAACUUCGCAGUUUGACUGAAGAAUAUUUCUACCUAUAACUGUGACCAGAAAUAGUAAUCUUAAAUAAAAGGAAGAUUAUCUAUAUUGUGCUAAUCUAUGUGUUCAGUUGACAGUUUUGUGGAAGCUGGUGGAGAAAAUUCUUUUACCCAAACCAGCCAAGACUUCAUCAGAAGAAAGCAAAUUUACUCAAGGAGUAAAUUGGUUCGUCGUUCCUGGGACAAACUUGUUACCUGGUUUUGGUGAAAAGAUUGAAAGAGAAUCCAAGCUAAGGCUUAAUGAGUUUGCUAAAGAGCUUAGAUCUUUCAGCAUUGUUGACAUGUCAGGUAAAAUUGCACUCAGUUGCUGACUCAGCUGCUUCACAUAUUAAAAUUGGUGUUCAAACUAUGCUAAGUGCUGUCAUAAAUAGAUAUCUACUUUUUUUUUGAAAAGCUUAGAUCAGGAACUUUAAUUGUUUAUGGUUUUCAGGAAAGUGAUGAUGCCUGAAAAAGAUUUGCCUAAACUUGUUAAUUUUUAGCACCCACCCCACCCCUCAAAAGAAAACAACAAAUACCAAAGAUGUUGUGUUUUCUACCUUGCUUUGUGAUAAAACAUGUUUUGCUUACUGAUAGUGUCUUAAGAAAAUAUCCUAGACUUGUUGCAAUUUUAAGCUCCCCCCCCCCCCCCCAAAACACCCACAACCCUAAGCGCAAGACACCAUGAUCAAAUCUUUGCUGCAUUUUCUUUGUUUUGUGACUAGACAUGGUUUACUUACUGAUUAAGGAAUUAUAAUUUUCAAGUUGCUUGGNNNNNNNNNNNNNNNNNNNNNNNNNAACCAAUGGGUAAUCAAUGGAUAACUAAUGAGUUUAACUUUUACAUUUGUAAAGUCUCAAAUUGGGGUUCCUCAAGUUUGGAACACUAGGAAUUCUCUCAAAAGUGUUCAUAUUCAAGAAGUCAUGGAUAAUAUGGUUAUCCAUAUUAUCCGUCGGUUAACCCGUUUUUUAUCCGUAUUAAACAUGGGUCGGGUCGGAUAAUUUAUCCGUUUUUCAUUACCCGUUUCGACCCGAACCAUAUCCAAUCCGACCCGCCCGUUUGCCACUCCUGUUUGCACCCAUAUUUUCUAUUGUACUUCUUAUGUGUCUCUAGGCACUUCAGGAUCAACAUGAAUAUUUGGUAUUUAUGGUUGUGCAUAUGUUACCAUAUAUCGUGUUAGUCUGAGUCAGAGUUUUUUGCAUUCCCUGAGUUUGUUGGUCUUAAGGAAAAGCAUCAAACUGAGGCCGUUAGCAGAUUUGUUUCUCUCAAGUCCAGAAAUUUCAUGCUUAGAAGCUGCUAAUUGGUUAUCUGAAGCAGUUUUCGUUUCUCUAAUUAUUACUUUAUGCAAACAACUUGUUAGAGAAUAUAUCAGUUAACCCGCAAGUCUUUCUCUUCCAGAUUGUCAUUCAUGAGCUGUUCAAUUGUAAUAUUCUGAAGUUCAUUAAUAAAAAUUUACAUUCACAGUGUCUAUGUGAUAUACUGGCAAACAACUCUGGUAUUCAAAAGCUCCAGCUAAACAGCACCGGCCUAGGAGAUGAGGUUAGCAUAUGCUUUUAGUAUUUAAAGUCCAGUUGCUAUAUAUUUUCUGCUUUAAGAUCAAUUAUCGCUAAAAAUGUUUUUGGCAAUGGUUUAUCUGGACUUUGCAGGGAGCGAAAGCUAUUGGUGAAAUGCUGAAAAAAAAUUCAACUUUGCGUGUAGUUGAACUAAACAAUAAUCAGAUUGACUAUUCUGUAUGUUUCUUUAAGCAGAACUUGUAAUUUGUAUUGUUCUAAUUUUUUACUAUCUCUAUUUCUGAAGGAAAACCUGUUUGAUUUGAAUAUGGAGAUAGGGAUUUUCAGGUCUUGCUGGAUCACUUCUUGAGAAUAAAAGUUUACAAUCGUUACAUCUCAAGUGAGCAAAAUUUCUUCCGCUAUGUUUUUGUCUUUGCUUGUCCAUUUGUCAUAUGUCCAAUUUUAGCAGUUUCCUAUUUGUUUUUGGGUUAUGGGGGGUGGGAUGAGGGAUUUGAAUUGUGAAGACACAUUAACUUUUGUUAUUUUUUUUAAUUUUCCCUUAUAUCCUUCAAUUUAUGUGCUUCAAUUUACUGUUCAGUGGCAACUAUGGUGGUGCGUUAGGGGCUGCAGCUUUGGCUAAAGGCCUGGAGGGCAAUAAAUCUUUGAGGGUACGUUUCUGAUCAAUUCCUCCGUCCCACACGCACCUCCUUACCCUUUUCAGUUUCUUUUUUUUCUUUUGACCUGGCAAAUUAUUGAGCUUCUCGUAACCUUGAUAUCUUGCUUCUGUCUCCUUGGACAAUUUGUUGGUAUUUUGUGAAUUUUACUCUCUGCUCUCAUGUUUCAAUUUGAUCGCUUAGAAGAGCUGUUUUCAAAAUUUUCAAUAGCUACCAUUUAAUUUUCUCUGUGACUGCUGACACUAGGAUAGCAUGCUAAUGCGCUUAAUGUCAUUAAAGAAACUUUCUCUGUUUACCUAUGGGAGCACUAUAUAUCCUAAAAACCCUUAUUUCUUCAACUAUGCUUGAAAUGUUUCUGUAUGUGCAGGAACUUUAUUUGCAAGGGAACUCUAUUGGUGAUGAAGGAGUACGGGCAUUAAUUUCUGGCCUAUCUUCUCGUAAAGGUUUGCUUAUGAUGUAUAAUUAACCAUUCUUUACCAUAUUCGUGUUGUGUCUUGUGCAUAUUUGUGGAGUUACAUGCGUCACCAUUAUAUGUCUGCAGGGAAACUUGUCUUACUUGACAUGGCCAACAACUCAAUUACUGCUAGAGGUGCAUUUCACGUAGCAGAAUAUGCCAAAAAAAGCAAAAGCUUACUAUGGUUGAACCUCUAUAUGAAUGACAUCAAAGAUGAGGUAAUUGAAUCAUUUAGAACUUUCACAUGUUCUUUUGGGGAAGGUUAACGGUUGAUUGAUAGAGAAAAACAUGAAGAGUAUGACUUGGUUGGAGCUGAAUGUGAUAGUUGUUCAUUAUUGAAAGCAGAGCAUAGGGUUAGAUCGCGUGGUCGAGAAAAAACUUAAUGGUUCCAAACAUUAAAGAAGAUAAUUUCCGACUGGGUUUUAUCACGUUGGGAUAGCCAAAAGAAAAUUAGAAGGCUUGCUUGGCCCAUGGUAGUAACUGGAAGAUGUUGAAUGAACUAAGGUUUUUUUUAUUUUUAUGUGAGCGGGUCCGGACUUCAAUCUCGAUAUGCAUUGACUUUUCCUUUUUUCCUCCCCAAUUGAUAUCCGUCAGGGAGCUGAAAAAAUUGCAGAAGCUUUGAAGGAGAACCGCUCAAUAACUAACAUAGAUCUAGUAAGCUGUUGUUUCUUUUCUAUUUUAUUUAAUAUUUCUUGUUUGUUCAGGGAGGAGGUUGUUGUUUCUUAGUCAAGCAUUAUUUUCAUAGUGGUAUUUGCAUACCUUUGAUGACUGAAGUUCUGUGAAAAUUUUACAGGGGGGCAAUGACAUACAUUCUAAGGGUAUCAGUGCCUUAGCAGAAGUCCUGAAAGAUAAUUCUGUCAUUACCUCAGUGAGUUUCAUCAAAAUGUUUCCUUUUACUGAUGUCUCGAAAAAGAGAUACUUAAAAUUUCUUACACACAGUUAGAGCUUGGUUACAACCCCAUUGGACCAGAGGGGGCGAAGGCAUUAGCAGAGGUCCUCAAGUUUCAUGGAAAUGUGAAAGAUCUCAUGCUUGGUUGGUGUCAGGUAAUUGAUGGAUUGUUUCAUAUAAGCUCUCUUUAUUCAACUCUUUUGGCAUGCUUACCUAAUUUUAUUACAGAUUGGAGCCAAAGGUGCGGAGGAAAUUGCUGACAUGUUAAAGUACAAUAGUACCAUCUCUACUCUAGACUUGCGAGCCAAUGGACUUAGAGACGAGGUUUUAAUUAGUAGUUUAUAGUUCAUUCAUCCUGCGGCAAUCUUCAAUUUCCCUCGAAGUACAAUAACUAUCUCCUUUUCAGGGUGCAAUCUGCCUUGCUCGGAGUUUAAAGGUGGUCAAUGAAGCUUUGACAACACUCAAUUUAGGGUUCAAUGAAAUUAGAGUAUGUAACUCCUUUUUAGUACAGCCUCCUGUCUCGAUAAACUUUAGCUUCUUGCAAACUUAGUCUCUCGUGUGCACAGGAUGAAGGAGCUUUCUCCAUCGCUCAAGCACUGAAGGCAAAUGAAGAUGUAAGACUCACAUCCAUAAAUCUUACCAGCAACUUCCUCACCAAACUAGGGCAGGUAUCUUCGUAUGACACCCUAUUUUAUUCUCAUCUUCAGCUGUUUUACACAAUUUUUAGAUCCUCAUAAUAUCUGGAUGGAUUUCCAAAUUUCAGACAGCUCUCACAGAUGCAAGAGACCAUGUGUUUGAGAUGACUGAGAAGGAGCUUGCUGUUAUGUUCUAAAAUACUACACUCCUUUGAUCAAAUAUAUUUUUCUCCUACUUUCUAUUCUUGAGGUUGGGGCAUGGGUGCAUUGGAGGAUUUUGUCAGUCUUUUUUUCUUUUUAGGGAAUAGAAUCACAGCCCACCAUGAUAUUCUUUCCACUUGUGUGGAUCAAGAGUCACCCUUAGUUCCCUUUUGUGUCUGAAUUCUUGAGUGGUGGGUAAGGGUGGGAAUUUUGGUAUUGAGCUAUGUACUGAUAUUGUCAAAGAAUUCUUCUUUUAGUCUUCUCAUUUGAUAAUGUAAGUGGCAUGUAUACGACAAUUCUUCAAUAAUAAUUGUUAGGUUAUUGUAAUACAUAACAGAUUCAACGAUGUAUUCCUAUUGGGAACUUCAUUUUUUUUUUUGGUUGUUUUUUUUAGUAUUAAGAUUCAUUUUUAAGCUCUUUAUGUUGUUUUUGGUUCCCUAUCUUUGAGCCUAUUCGAUGGUAAAGGACGAAACAAGCUACCUUAUAGUCAUUCAACUUUUCUGAAGCAUUCUGAUAAAUGUGCUGCGUUCUAUUGCUUAUCCUUCACCUUGAAAUAAUAGGGGACAGGAAAAACCAAGAAUAAAGAAAAAGAAAGGGAAUUGUACUUAAAAUUCAUACCGUUAAGGGUUAAAAAAAAAUCUUGAAGUAAAUGCAUAACACAUACUUGGAUACAAUCCAGAAACUGCUUGUUCUGGAUUUAAUUGGCAUCUUGUACGUUGAGCUUGUAAAGUUUUCAAAUUGGAAUUUUGUGGGAUAAGGUGGACAGCUGGGGUUUUCAGAAUCUGCAAGGCAGAGUAUUCAGUGGAUAACUAUUCAAGCUUACUUGGAACAGAGUGUUUUCAGGACAGAGCUGAACAACACGAAAUGUGGCUAAGCUCUCUAAAUGACAUAUCUGCAUGAGCAUCACCAGAUUUUUUGGUGUGCGAGUAACUACUUCCAGAGAGUAAGGGGAGAAGACAUCAGAGAACCCUACACAUAUACAAGUUCGCAAUUCAAAGCCAAAUGGCAAAGGGUUAUGCACGAGCUAAAGACAUAUUCAAGAUUUUAAUUAAAUAUUAGAACUCGCCAGAAAGUACUUGGUACUACGAUCAUUGGAGAACAAUAUCUAAUCCCAAAGAUGCUCCAGAAUCUUUUUGAUUGCUCGUUCGAGAACUAUAUAUAUAUAUAUAUAUAUAUAUAGAGAUGUUUAGUUGAGAACAAUAUAGCAGUAUGAUGCAGCUUACUAAUAGACUAGUACACAAAAUAAUAAAACUGUGAUGUGAACUAAGAGUCCACCAAACAGUAUAGAGAACCUGAUUCUCUAUUAGUUCUCAUAGAACACACACAGCAGUAAGUAGAUAACACAACAGUAUUUUACGUGGAAAACUCCCAACUCACGGGAUUAAAAACCACGACUUACACUCGUAGGAUUUCAAUUUCACUAACCGAGCAACUUUAGAUUACAAUCUAUUGUAACCUAGGAAUUAAACUCUUAAUCCCUCACCUACUUGCAAUAACUCUAUUGCAAGCCUCUUUGUAAUAACUCUAUUACAAAGCUCACCACUUUGACUAACUCUAGUCAAACACAAACACAAACACAAAUACAAGGUUUAUGGUGUACAAAGAUAUCCUACAAGAUGCUUCUAACUAAGUUGAGUAGGAAUUACAAGUGAAUAACAUUAACAAAGAUACAACAAUACUAAGGACACACGAUGAACUCAGUGUUGGGAUCUGGUCCUUUCUUCUGUUGCUACUUUGUUCUUCAAGCCUUGGAGUAAAUGGAGGCGACUGCACACUUGAAAGAGAAUUAAUGAUUUAGGGUUUGCAAGUGUGUGUUUUCCCUUGCCUCAUGUUGGUAAUAUGUAAGUGAGGUAAUUAGGAUGAUGUAAGCAAGUAUCCGGUACACAACAUGCUCCAAAAAGUGACUGCCGCACUGUUGCGUGUGCAAUGUAACAUUGUAGCAGCUUUAACAGUUGUAAGGAGUUGACUUGUACGUGACCGGAGGAACUGAUAGCCAUCUGUUCCCUCUGCAGUUCCUUUGACUGAUAUCAUUGGAACUUGUGCUAGACACGUGACUUGUUAUUCCGAGCACUUUGAGGCUUUAUAUCAGGUUCCCUAUCGGGUUCUCAUAUGAAGUUUGUUAAACCAUCAAAACACAAAGUCACAUAACUUAUCAAUUUUUCCCAUUUUGAUGAUGACAAACUUAGAAUUGAUGGUCCCCCUUAAAACCAGAUCUCCAUAUGAUUCCCCCUGCAAAUUAGUUAUAUUCCCCAUGAAAACCUGUUUUCUCCCCUUCAAUUUUUCUUCCCCCUUUUGACAUCAUAAAAAGAAUUUAUGCAAGUAAACGCAAAAAGGAAUUCCAGUAAAGUUAGUUCAUACCACUUGUGUGCAUACAACAUAGCUAAGAACAUAGCACAAGAGUAAAACAUGCAUAUCAAAAGACUGAGAUGCUCAUUUGAUUAAUUAGAGAGAAAAACAUAGGCAGUAGUACCAUUGUUAUAAAACAUCCACACAAUAAACAAACUUAAAAGUACCACAUUCAUAAAAACAAACAGGCCAAAACAGGACACUUGGACCAGGACAGACACAGAUAAACUGGACAUUGACAAGGGGACUAUUUAAGGGGCACUGGAAGAGGGAGAGAAGGAUAAAGAGGCAAGGGCUUUGAGAAGAAUAUCAACUCGAGCAUUUGCAGACCACUGUUCAUUUAUCAGUUGCUCUUUCAGGUUCUCAACCUGUUUCCUUAGCUCUGCAUUUUCAUCCAUCAAGCGGGAAACCUCUGCACCCUGUACACUGCUAGAACCAGGUUCCUCUUUGGCUUGAUAGAACUGUCCCUCAAGAAUGGCAUUUCUAGCCUUCAGCCUCCUUAUUUUCUCGUUAGCAGCAGCCCGAGCAUCGAUCAGCCGAGAACUCAUAGAAUUGCUGCCAACUCCCCCUUCUUGUAUAUACACUCGCACUCUUUCAAGGUAGUCAUUGAGAACGUUUUCUUUCGAGUUCCCACUGCUGCUCUUCCCAAGGGAACUUUGAAAUAUUCAAACACUCUAGUGAGCAAGAACCCAUAAGGCAAGCCAUGGUUCCCAUCCUUGAAGUCUGCCACCUUUUUCAUAUGUUCAAUCAUGAAUCCAGGCAGGUUGAUAGUAGUGUAUCCAUCCAAUGCUUCCAGGAGAAAUAGGUCCGCCGUUGAAGUAAUAGAAUGUCUUUCCGCAUGAGAGAGCAUGACCUUGUUUACCAUUUCAAAUAUGAGCUGAUAUUCUAGAAGUAGGGCCUUCUUGUGCACUCGUUCCCCUCUGUGAACAGUCCGAGACUUUAGAAUGAUCUUCCUAAAGUCAGAGGAACAUGUCCCUUCAACAGAUGAGAGCCCCUCAGUGGGCACACCCAAGAUACUUCCCAGUACAGCUUCAUCCAUCACAAACUCCACUCCACUAACUUUCAGGCAGAUAUUGUCAUCUUUCACGGUGAACAGAUCAACGUAGAAGCUGCGAACUUCCUCUUCAUAGAAUUUGGGACUCUGAAUGGUAAACAGAUAAGUCCACUUCUGAAACUCACAAAUUGCAACCAGUUGUCUCAUGCAUGACAUUUCAAUAAUAUCAGCAUCAAACAUUCUGCCCCACAACACCCUUUGCUUCUUCAACUUUUCUCUUCUGUCAACUUCAUACACUUCCACUCUGGCUUUCUUAGAGGAACCAGGUUCCUCACUGUCACUUGCUUUUCUCUUCUGAGAUUUCUUCACACUCUUCUCCUUCCUCCCAAACUUACUUUUCUCACCAGAGUCCUUCUGUUCAAUACUCUUCUCUUUAUCAAUCUCAACACCUUUCACAGACGACCCUCUCUAGGACUUCACAAUCACAGACUUCUUAAAGGAUUUAUGAACAAGGGAAGCAAGUUCCUUAUUUACCUCUUCGUCCUCAAUAUCCACAAUAUUUGCCGGAGGCAGAUCCUCCUCAUUCACUAAUUUUCCCCCUUUCACCAACCUUCUUCUUUUCAUUUUCUCCUUAUUUCUUUUCAAACCACUCUCAAGGACUUCUCUCUUCUGCUGCCUAGUAGUGGGUCUUUAAGAACAGGCUCUUUGGGGACUACCCUACCACUUCUAGCAGCUAUAAACUGUGCCACAAGAAUAUCAUCAUAAUCCUCCUCACUUUCAACAUCUUCUUCUUCAGACAAGGGCUUCAUCUCAGGAAUCACAAAAUUUAAUGGAACUACAUCAUGAUGAGGGGAAGGAAGAGGGUCAGUACUAUCCAGGGGCUUUUUAGUGGAGCAUGGAGUUUCAUCCCAGGUAGGAGCAGAGUCCUCUUAUUGGGCAGAGGGAGCAGGUCCCUCUGUUGGCUCCCUUGUAGUACUAACUGGUACCAAUUCUCUUUGAGGCAUCGAUUCCCCACUUCCAUCCUCAUUACCUUUUUCCCUCCGAGUCUCAGCACUCACAUAACCAGACACAUACUCCCCAACCAAACCCCCUACAGUAGCAAUAAAAACAUGUUCUCUAUGGCUUCCUUCUCACUUACAUCCAACAAGAAUCAGUAGAAGCGAGAGAGGCGUUACCUGAUGGUGAUGCAAUAUUCAGAUCAAACAUUGGAGCAGAAGGAGUGGUAGACACACCAAAUGCUUUACUAAGACCGGCAAAAACCUCUUGGGCUACAGUUACCUCCUCAACUUUCUGGCCCGAAACCUCUUUUCCUUCUUCUCCAUCUUCUGUCAUUUUUUACGGCGUAGCAGAGGGAGAGUUUGUUGCGAUAAACUUUUUGGGUGUUUGAUUUUUCCGGCUAUGGUGGGAACCGAAACUCGAUGGAGAAGGAGAAGAGAUAGUGAGUGGAUGUUGGUCGGAGAUGGGUUUUUCACUAGGUGAAGGUGGAGACUCAAACUCGUGUUAUUGUGCUUCGUGAGAUGAAGACACAGUGGGAGUGACAAUGGUGGCUUUAGGAGACUCUGGUUUUUGGGAAGACAUGGUAAUUUUUUAAAACAAAGACACAAGAAAGAUGGUUUCUGAGAGAAGAGGAAAGUUUGAUGACUUUGAUGUCGACAAUUGUGAGCGAGACAAGUCUUUUGGGGUUAUUUAGAGGGAAGGAGGGACCGGUUACAAUUGGGUGCAACAGACUAGGUAGACGGGUCGGUUUGUAACAUGUGUAACGUUUGGGCUUAAAAAGGUAUGGGAGAAAGGGCGGGCAUAUUUUAAUAACGUGGCAAUUUUAGCAAUUUAAAAUGUGUAUGAGUGUAAGAGGAACUACUAACCUGAGUCAAGGGAACCAGGUUCCCUGACUGAUUUUUAUAAAUAUGAGCCUCAUCUUUCUACCAAAUUGCAAUAUCAUUAGCUGCUUGUUUGCCCUGUAAUUGCCAUGCGUGUUUACCUAUAACGGUAUAGAAUUGAGUUAGAAAUUAUCAGAAAAUACUUUUUAGCAAUUUACCUUCAUAUUCCUUCAUAGCCAGCCAUUGAGGGACCAGGUUCUCAGUUCAAUUUUAUUAGUGCCAACUCCAGUCGAUUCUUUUCAAAAUUCUCUCUGCUCAAUGCUUUGGUGAAGAUAUCAGCUACCUGGUCCACUGUUUUGCAAAAUUUCAUGCAGAUGAGACCCUUUUCAAUAUUGUCCCUAAGAAAAUGAUGUCGCACAUCAAUAUGCUUUGUCCUCUUAUGCUGAAUCGAGUUCUUUUCCAUGUUGAAAGCAAUUGUAUUGUCACACAGUAGUGGCACACAAUCAGAAAAGACAUCAAAAUCUUCUAGUUGUUUCUUGAUCCAUAACAAUUGGGCACAACAAGAAGCAACUGCCACAUAUUCAGCUUCUGCAGUAGAGAGAGCUACAGAGUUUUGUUUCUUUGUACCCCAUGAAAUCAAGCAUGAUCCCAGAAAAUGUGCCAUCCCAGAUGUACUCUUUCUAUCCACCAAAUAACCAGCAUCAACAUACCCAAUUAAGUCAAAAUUUUCUCCUGAGGGAUAAUAGAGGACCAGGUCCUGUGUUCCUUUGAGAUACCUCAGAAUUCUCUUAGUAGCUUUAAGAUGAGAUUCUUUUGGUCUUGAUUGUAAUCUAAGCAUAUAAUCCCACACUGAACACAAUGUCAGGUCUGAUGGCUGUGAGAUACAAGAGUGAACCAAUGAUACCACGAUACAUGGUUUCAUUCAUAGAGGAACCAUGUUCGUCCAUGUCCAGAUGAGUGGCUGUGGAAAUAAGAGUAUCAAUGGUCUUUGAGCUGUACUCAUGCCCUUCCCUGCAUAUGUUUUCGUGUGCAGAUCCAGGUGCGAGCUAUCAGCCUCGGGGUUAGUACGUGCCGCUGAUUCUAGGAGACUUCAAGGUACUUCUUCUUACGUCCGCAGAUCUUCGGAGUCCCCUUCUACUCCCUCGCCUAGAUACUUUCUUUAUUAUCCUCAAACUUUUGUAUAGAGCUACAUAGAUUAUAGCAGCUUGUGACUUAGUGAUAUUCCGGGUCUUGAAAAAUUAUUUUGUAUAUGCCGAGUGGUACUACUCUUGGCUAUUUAUAAUAUGCUGUUUAUACUUAAAAUGUUGUGUUUCCUUUAUAUUUUUCGCAAUAGUAGGCUUACCUAGUCGUAAAGACUAGGUGCCAUCACGACACCUUAUGGAGGGUUAAUUUGGGCUCAUGACACUUUGAAUGCUCUCCGUCUUGAUUAUUCUUAUCAUGUGAAUCUUUCACAGUUAAGUAGUGUGAUUCAUCAAAGAUUACAUGUACUCUUUCUUCGACACAUUGAGUUCUUUUGUUGUAGACCUUGUAUGCUUUGCUUUGUGAAGAAUAUCUAAGAAAGAUCCCUUCAUUACUUUUGGCAUCAAAUUUUUCCAGCACUUCCUUACCAUUAUUGAGAACAAAACAUUUACAACUAUAUAUUCUCAGGUAAGUCAGAUUAGUUUUUCUCCCAUUUAGCAUUUCAUAUGGGGUCUUGUUUAGGAGGGACCUGAUCAUGUACCUGUUUAUCAAAUAGCUGGCAGUGUUCCCUACCUCAACCCAAAAGAUCUUUGGUACACCACUGUCAAUUAGACUCAUCCUUGCCAUGUCUUCAAGAGUCCUAUUUUCCCUCUCCACAACACCACUUUGUUGGGGGUGCUUUAGGAGCUGAAAAAUUAUGACUAAUACCAUUUGCAUCAUAGAAUUCAUCAAAUUUUGCAUUGUCGAACUCGGUACCAUGAUCAGAUCUUAUGCUUACAACAUUAUGGCUCAUCUUCACUUGAAUCUGUUUCACAAAGGUAGCAAAUACUUGAAAAUUUUCAUUCUUGGUUCUGAGGAACAAGAUCCAAGUGAAUCUGGAGAAGUCAUCUACAAUGACAAAGAUGUACUUCUUUCCUCCUUUGCUGGGCAUUCUCAAAGUCCACACAGAUCCAUAUGGAGAAGAUCCAGUGGCCUUGAAGUGCUUACUUCCUUCUUUGGUUUGAAGAAGUACAUGAAUUGAUUUUCUUUCACACAUGCAUCACAAACUUUGUGAUCCUUGAACUUUGAUUUUGGCAACCCACGAACUAGGUCCUUCUUGACUAGUUUGUUCAACAAGGAGAAGCUUGCAUGUCCCAAUCUUCUGUGCCACAGUUCAACAUCAUCAUCAACAACACUCAUACAUGUAAGAUCUCCACUGUUUAGAGACUCAAAGUCAACAACAUAGAUGUAUUUGAAUCUUUUCGCCACCAGAACCACUACACCAGUCACAAGAUUGGUGACUGUGCAAUACUUUGAUAAGAACUCUACUUUAUUUCCUUUGUCGCAGAUUUGAGAUACACUCAGCAUGCUGUAUUUCAGGCCAUUUAGCUAAUACACAUUCUCAAUUGAGUGAAUGAGUGUCUUCCCAAUUUUUUCAACUCCCAUAAUGUAUCCCCCUUUUCCAUUUUCAAAGGACACACUCCCACUUUGCAGGGCUUUGAGUGAAAGAAAAUCAUCAGUAAUUCUAGUCAUAUGUUUAGAGAAGUCGCUAUUCAUAUACCAUCUUUGGCUAUUUCCUUUCACUGCUCCCUGCACAAGGAAAUCAGAGAUUAGACUUAGGAACCCAAACAAGUUUGGGCCCUUGUAGUAAGGAAAAAGGUGAAUUAAAUUUCUUCUUGUCCAAGCAGGCAUCACACAUUUUAUAUUGUAGGGACCAAGUUCCCUAAAAGUAGAUACUUUUUCAAUAAAAACUUUAUUUUUCUGUUGGGACUGAAAUCUAGCUUUACAGGAAUCUAUGAAAUGAACAGUGUUACCACAAUGAGUGCAAAGCCAGUUAGUUAUCAGGGACAGUGACAUACUUGCUAUGUGGGUUGUAAGGAGCCUUUUCCUUUUGGAACCCAAUUCCCUGCAUGUUCCCCCAUUACUUUUAUACAUAAAAAUGAUUGUAUUAGAAGACCAGGUCCACUUUAGAGAUUUAUCUAGGUUAUUUUUAACCCUACUUAGAUCUUCCUAAAGUUGUCUAUUUCUUUCAAGUUCAGCACACAGACUCAAUUUUACCAUUUUGAGUUUAUUUUCAAGUUUAAGGUGUGCCUCACUCGCCACUUCCUUACAUUUUGAAGGGUUCAUGCGGUUUUCUAUUGAAGCUUUCACAGAAAUAUUUUCCCUUUUUAAUUCCUCUAUUGUUUCCUUUAGAUCCACAACUACUACCAACAAGUCAUCUCUCUCAAGCUCUACCUUUUUAAUUUUCUUAGUUAGAACAUCCUUUUCAUUCUUUAAAUCCUCAAUGGUUUCUUUUAAAUCAACAACUAUGACUAGUAAAUCAUCUCUCUCAUGCUCUACCUCCCUUAAUUCCAUAGUUAAAAUAUUUUUAGCAUUGAUAAGGUAUGGUUAGCAUCAAUCAGGACAUUUGCUAAAGAUACAAGUGUCUUUUGAGAGUAAGACUUCAAAUUUCUUUGAACGUCUUGAAAGUUUACCUCAUCGUCAUCAUCAUCUUCAUCCUCAUCAGAUUUUUCUAUCAGGGAAAAGAUGGAGUCAUAUUCAGCUGCUUCGCUUUUAACGGCCAUCAUGGAGGUGUCACAUUGUUCAUCAUCUCCCUCAGAUUCACUAGAGGAAUCUUCCCAUACAGCAAGAGCUUGUUGUCAGCGACAUCUCUUAUCUUGAACUUCGUGUCAGGAACCUAGUUCCUCUUGGUUGUCUUGUCUGUAUGCUUGUAUUGGUCUUGCUUGUGGAGAGGACGAUCUUUGAUGAAAUGUCCUGGCUUCCCUCAUUUGUGACAACUAUCAUAGCCUUUUGGUCUGCUAGAGCUGUCUUUUUUCGGAAUACCUCCAUUUCUGCGAACCAUUUUCUGAAACCUCCUUGUCAAAUAGGCCAUGUCAGCAUUAUCACCACUUGAGUCACUGCUGUCUGCUUUGAGAACCAGGUUCUUCUCCCUUUUGGGUUCUUUUCUUUCAUGGUCCUUCUUCUUCUUCUUCUUCUUCUUCUUCUUCUUCUUCUUCUUCUUCUUCUUCUUCUUCUUCUUCUUCUUCUUCUUCUUCUUCUNNNNNNNNNNNNNNNNNNNNNNNNNNNNNNNNNNNNNNNNNNNNNNNNNNNNNNNNNNNNNNNNNNNNNNNNNNNNNNNNNNNNNNNNNNNNNNNNNNNNNNNNNNNNNNNNNNNNNNNNNNNNNNNNNNNNNNNNNNNNNNNNNNNNNNNNNNNNNNNNNNNNNNNNNNNNNNNNNNNNNNNNNNNNNNNNNNNNNNNNNNNNNNNNNNNNNNNNNNNNNNNNNNNNNNNNNNNNNNNNNNNNNNNNNNNNNNNNNNNNNNNNNNNNNNNNNNNNNNNNNNNNNNNNNNNNNNNNNNNNNNNNNNNNNNNNNNNNNNNNNNNNNNNNNNNNNNNNNNNNNNNNNNNNNNNNNNNNNNNNNNNNNNNNNNNNNNNNNNNNNNNNNNNNNNNNNNNNNNNNNNNNNNNNNNNNNNNNNNNNNNNNNNNNNNNNNNNNNNNNNNNNNNNNNNNNNNNNNNNNNNNNNNNNNNNNNNNNNNNNNNNNNNNNNNNNNNNNNNNNNNNNNNNNNNNNNNNNNNNNNNNNNNNNNNNNNNNNNNNNNNNNNNNNNNNNNNNNNNNNNNNNNNNNNNNNNNNNNNNNNNNNNNNNNNNNNNNNNNNNNNNNNNNNNNNNNNNNNNNNNNNNNNNNNNNNNNNNNNNNNNNNNNNNNNNNNNNNNNNNNNNNNNNNNNNNNNNNNNNNNNNNNNNNNNNNNNNNNNNNNNNNNNNNNNNNNNNNNNNNNNNNNNNNNNNNNNNNNNNNNNNNNNNNNNNNNNNNNNNNNNNNNNNNNNNNNNNNNNNNNNNNNNNNNNNNNNNNNNNNNNNNNNNNNNNNNNNNNNNNNNNNNNNNNNNNNNNNNNNNNNNNNNNNNNNNNNNNNNNNNNNNNNNNNNNNNNNNNNNNNNNNNNNNNNNNNNNNNNNNNNNNNNNNNNNNNNNNNNNNNNNNNNNNNNNNNNNNNNNNNNNNNNNNNNNNNNNNNNNNNNNNNNNNNNNNNNNNNNNNNNNNNNNNNNNNNNNNNNNNNNNNNNNNNNNNNNNNNNNNNNNNNNNNNNNNNNNNNNNNNNNNNNNNNNNNNNNNNNNNNNNNNNNNNNNNNNNNNNNNNNNNNNNNNNNNNNNNNNNNNNNNNNNNNNNNNNNNNNNNNNNNNNNNNNNNNNNNNNNNNNNNNNNNNNNNNNNNNNNNNNNNNNNNNNNNNNNNNNNNNNNNNNNNNNNNNNNNNNNNNNNNNNNNNNNNNNNNNNNNNNNNNNNNNNNNNNNNNNNNNNNNNNNNNNNNNNNNNNNNNNNNNNNNNNNNNNNNNNNNNNNNNNNNNNNNNNNNNNNNNNNNNNNNNNNNNNNNNNNNNNNNNNNNNNNNNNNNNNNNNNNNNCUUCUUCUUCUUCUUCUCGUAGGUCUUCAGAUUUCCAAUGAGUUCGUCUAUCAUCAGCUUUUGCAGAACUUUUGCCUCCGUAAUAGCAUUGACUUUACUCUCCCAAGAAUCAGAUAACAUACUGAGUAUUUUCCUGACCACUUUGUUCCUUGGAAUGAUCUCUCCUAGAGAAUGGAGCUCAUUGAUGAUGGAAGUAAAGCGAGUAUACAUGUCCUGAAUGGACUCAUCAACCUUCAUCUUGAAGAGUUCAUACUCAGUUGUGAGCAUAUCGAUCUUUGACUGCUUGACUUGAGUUGUUCCUUCAUGUGCGGUUUGGAGAGCCUCCCAGAUCUCCUUGGCAGAUUGACAAGCUGAGAUUUUGUUGUACUCGUCUAGUCCAAUACCACAGAUGAGGAUCUUCUUUACUCGGAAGUUUUGCUCUAUAGCUUUGCGGUCGGCAUCAUUGUACUCCUUCUGUCAUGCCCCGACCUUGGGGAGCACGACCGGCACCCAACCAAGAUACCCCGGUCAAGCAAGCAUUUACAAGGCUUCUUCCCAACUCACCCAUGGAUAAAGAGAAGAUACAUUUAUAUCAUUAAUUAAACAGUAAGUGGAUUCCAUGAACAAUGCCAAUUCUAUUACCAUUAGUCGAUUCAUUUUAUAGUCUCAAAAUACAUACACAAUCAUAGUUAAAGUGCACAAGUGAUUCAACUACAACAAGGUUAGUUUUACUUUUCCAACACCCAUAUACAACCCACACUGUGUCUACGGAUAUAAAAUACUAUGAUUACAUCGACAACAAAGCCUCGGCUAUAGAUCAAAAUAUAAUACACGUGGGACAAAAGAUACACGACCCCGAAUGAAGUGGGGCUCACCAAAUCUGCAGAGAAGAGGGUGUACUGCUAUCAAUAAUCAGUGCCACCUGCUGCGGAACCACCUGUAUCCAUUAAAGAUGCAGCGCCCUCGACAAAAAGGAUGUUAGUACAUAUAGAAUAGUACUAGUAUGAAUGACUAAACACCCUCUUAAUAGAGCGAAUGAUAACAUAAGUAAGGACAAUCAUAAAAUCAAUGGGAGCCUCAAACAAUACCAAAAUAUCAAAUUAGGAGCAAGACAAGUUUUCAAGUAAAUUUCCACAUUUUAAGUCUAGGAGAUCUUAGCACCGAUAUACCACCGUGAUCUUGAGCACGGAGUCCGAUCACGGCCCGAUCGGCUAGGCCGUCUCACCCAAAGACAUCAACCACAAUCACAAUCAUUAUCUCAGUCUCAAUCAUUGUUUUAAUCGUAAUCUCAAGCAUAAUCACCACCAUGUGUGUAGCAUGGCGUACGAUCACGACCCGACCGGCUAGGCCGUCUCACCACAAUACCAUGUGGAUCGACAUCACCAUUUUUUAAUAAUCAUCUCAUCCCAAUAAAGGAGAAUAUUUUCAUCACAUCAAUCUCAUCCCCAUAAAGGGUUACAAUCACACUUCGCUCCUACACCGGCACGUGUAAGUUCGGGGUUAGGUUUUUUCAACUUACCCUUCCUCGGUGACUAACGACACUCCCGGGGUGUUUAUUUGUUUAAAGGAUUGACGACUCAUUUCAUUAUCUUUUAUAUAUCAUUCAUUUCAUUGGCACCAAUGGCCACAACACAAUGUCACUCUUGGCACGUUGGCCGUAUUUUAUACUUCAUAUUCAUCUCUUUCACUUUCAAACAUUAUCACGGAUCAUCAACAACAGAGGAUUUCUAUUCAAGACUUUAAGUCCACAUAUUGAGCAAAUAAGAAUGUUAAGCACAUUCAGAUUUCUUACACAAUUUGGCAUAAUAGCCUCCAUUUGAAUCACGGCUUAAAGAUAUAACAUUUGGACAUGGAACCCAGACUUCGAGCAUAUUUUCAAAUAGAAUAUAACAUAACAAGAACAUUGGAAUACAUAUUGAACAUAUAUCUAUCAACAAAAGGCUUAUUCGGAAUAAUCAAUUCAUAAUGAACAACUCGGGACUUAUAAGGAUAUUGUGGGGUUCAAUUCUAAGAGAUGAGUUUAGCCAACAUACCUCACCUUGAGCUAUUUAAAUUAAUACAAUAUUCCGGAAUUCUUAGCCUCUUCGAUCUAUUUAGAAAUAUAGCAUAAUUGAACACAAAUUAAGAGAGAGUUUAUGGUUCCAGCUCAUUUGAGCAUUUUAUCAAACACUAGGUGGGUAUUAUGAUUUCAAGGUCCUCCUAUGGUGGAUUUCUCCAUCCUACUACCCAAAGUCUACCCAAUUUAGCUCAACAUUCUUCCCCCAACCCUUGAUAGUACAUGCAUGCAUAAUGGACAACUCCCGCAUCCAAGAAUUGCUAUUCUCAUUACCUAUUUUCAGUAAAUCACGAAAUUGAGGGAUAGAGAGUAGAAUCUUACCUUUAGGAUGAAGACCUAGUGAACUUUCUUGUGAAUUCUUCAACUUGGAGCAAGAGUUAAUGAUCAAUAAGCUUAGGAACUUCCCCUCUCACUCUAUGGUAAUCCCUAUCUCUAGAAAUAUCAGAUUUUUGCUUCAAAAGUGACUCUUUGCUUCAAUAUAUCGAAAUAGGGUCGGGUCAAAAAUUAGAAAAAAUGAGCCCCGAUGCAGAUCCGCGGUCGCAUAUGCGACCGCAUAACGCUUUUGCGGUGUGCAAAAUGGACAACAUAAUGGCCCUCCGAAAUUGGGCACUCCUGCCUCACUCUGCGACCGGUCUACGGUCCGUAGACCUAUUCUGCGGUCGCAUAAUGCACCGCAGAACUGCCCUUAGGAAUUGUUUGUGAUGGGUCUAUGAGGGGUUAUGCGGUCCACAAAAUGAUUAUGCGACCGCAUAAUGGACCGCAUAAUGGUCCAAAAAUUUUGCCCAAAUUUCUGCUUCAGUCUGCGACAGAUCUGCGUUCCGCAGAUCAGUUCUGUGACCGCAGAAAUGCCCUGUACUUCCAAAUUAUUUUUCUUCAACUCCCCAACGCAUCGUUCAACUCAAAAAGUCCGAACCGCGGACAAUCAUCAACAUAUAAGUCCACUUCGGCACCACGAAACCCCGAAUUUUAGGUAAAGUUUUACGGUGCCUUACACUCUCCCCCACUUAAGAUCAUUCGUCCUCGAAUGAGGGCCAAAAUCCGCCAUUAGAAACCAAUGUGACUCAGCUGCUAUAUCAUACACUAACAGUUCUAAGCUUUUGACCGACUCCCCUAAUUUGCAAAAUUUUCGCCAGAGUUUCCACUGCCGCACUGUUGCGUGCGCAAUGUAACAGUGUAGCAACUUUAACAGUUGUAAGGAGUUGACUUGUACUGUGACCGGACGAACUGAUAGCCAUUUGUUCCCUCUGCAGUUCCUUUGACCGAUAACAUUGAAACUUGUGCUAGACAUGUGACUUGUUAUUUCGAUCACUUUGAGACUUUGUAUUAGAUUUCCUAUCUGGUUCUCAUAUAAGUUUAUUAAAUCAUUAAAAUACAAAGACAGAUAACUUAUCAAACGGGAUGAUGACUUUUGUCUUUUUGGCUCCUUGUACUGCCUCCUUUUCCAGUGGCAGUGCAGAUUUUCAGUAGCCUUCAGCUCAAACAUUAGAUCACUACGGGGUUUUUAGUGUCUAUCUUUUGAUUUGCAUGGUCCACUCUUUGUGCUUUUUCUUCCUAUCUUUUCAAAUUCUUAGUUGGAUGGAUGGUGAUUUGAAGAGAUGAAAAAGGAAAGAAAUCAAUAGCACAGUGAGCAGACUUCAAUUUACGAGGAAAACAACUGGAUUGUAGCUGGCACUUCUCCAACUUGUCUCCCUUUUCAGAUUUUAGAGUACAUUUUCAAGUAAAUUAACAUCUUUUUAGAAACUAGACCACAAUGUUGCGCUAUAGUGAGAAAAAAAAUCACAGCUAUUGGUGCACAAAACGUCCCGUAUUCAUACAAGAUCCGAGAAAGGAUCGUACCCCCCAAAGAAUAUGAUAUAGAUAGUCUACCCCGACGUAAGUAUUAGUAACUGCUUUCACGAUUAUACUGAAACAAUAAUGAAAUAGCUUUGCACAUUGGGAGCAUCACAUUAUUUCCUAGAGCGUGUUUGGUUUACCUCAUUAUCAAAAUUAAUCUCAACAUAAAUUCUACUUAAAUAAUAGAAUUUUUAAUUAUUUAUACAAGAAAAAAAUAAUCUGUGAUAACCAACGUUUGAUUGCGUUUAGUAAACGCUGUAUUGCUAAUACAGUCACAAGAUAUGCAGAAAUAUCAUAUUUUGUUAGGUGAAAUAGAAUGUACAAAAUAGAAUAAUCUUUAAAGUAAAUAAUUCCUACAUGGUUACGCAUAUCAGUUCCUCUUAUAUUAGUCAUCGCAUAAAUAACUACUCGUCAACCAAAUAGAACUAAGCGUCUCCUGCUAAAAUAUGUUACAGACUUUCAUAUUCCCUUCUGUUCAAAUUAAAAAUAAACAGCAAAUAUUCCCAAAUGCAGCCCACCAAAAAAUGUAGUGAUGGACACUUAGUAAAGUUUCUAAUACACCAGCUGUACAUUGAAUCUUUGCUAGGCAUGGCAUAUCAUCAACAAUUUGUUGUCUAUUGUCUUUUAAAUUCUGCCUCAAUCCUGUUCUCAGGACCAUACUUCAAGUUUCGAGCCUACUGAAACUUCCAAAAUUGGCCAAACACAGAAGCAAUAGUAUAGUUACAAAUUAAAGGCAGAAUACUAUUCUCCACUUUAUUCUUAAGAACCGGAAGAGACAAGGUUUAUCGUAGGCUUACAUUCAAAUGUUUAAAACAGUUUAAUUAUGAAAAGACUUCUUAACGUAAAUCACGUUUUGUAAAUAAAAUGAAUAAGAGGAAUCAUAUAUUAAUCGACUCCAAUAAAUUUCUAAUUUUCUAUUCAAUAAUUCGAAGUUCGAAUUCUCAUGGUCACACUCCUACUCUUUUAACACCAAAAGUUUGUCGGAAAGCUUAGCUUUGAACUCACAUAAUUAGAGUAGCAUUUCCUACAUGUAAAGUUGUAUGUGCUAAUUAAGAGACAAUUAAUGCUAUAUGUUUAGCACUCUGGUAAGUUUUUUGAUCAAGUUAAUAGAUACAACACUCCUUAUAACAAAUUUCUAUAAGUAUAGAGUAUAAGUAGAUUUAAUUAAUACCAUCACCAUGACUUCAUGAUAUAAUCAAUUGUAAUAAGUAAUAAAUUAGUACUUACUAUAAACCCUAUAAAUGAACAACUUUUGGUGGGAGCUUGCUACCGCUCCCUGUGGGUCUAGCCAAUCGAGUUAAUCGAGCUAGUAAAUUUUGAAUAUGGUGGGUUCAGAGGCGGAGCCAGAAUUUUAAGCUUAUGAGUUUGAAAUUUUAAUCGUUUACUAAGUUUUAAAUUAAUAAUUUUUAUACCUUCAAUAAAUUUUUAAAGAUAAAUAUAGAGCUCGAACCAAAACUAUUGGAUUCGUCCGAACCCGCUACCAGCAAUCUAACUCCGCUCAUGAGUGGGUCAAAAUAUAGUAAAGUGAAUAACAAUAAAAGAAAAAAAAAAAAAAGUAGGGAAGACGAGGAUUGACUGUUCCACUUUGAGGAUCCAUGUUGGGUGCAUGAAUAAGCUGUUAUAUUUCAAAGUAAAACUUGGGGCAAUUACAUCACGAGAUUCCUAUAAAAUGCAGGCACUGAUUUUCUUACACCCAAAAAAGAAGUCCCAAAUUAAAGUAGUCACAUACCAAACUACAAAGAAACUUAGGCAAAGACCAAGGAAACAUUCUGUCUCAUUCAAAAAACUCAACAAAAAUGACUUCAAGAUUGCUUCUACUUUUCCCCUUCUUCCUCUUCUGCCUACUUACUCAUGUAAAGUUUAAACUAUUCACCUAACUCCCAUAUGAUUUAGUGUUCUUUUUGUGGAACUAGUCUAAUGUUCUUUUCUGUCCAGGUCUCUUCUGAUAUUGAUAUUGAAGAAAACGAAACUCAGGUAUUUCUUUACUCUUUUUCCAUCACUAAACCAAAAAUUGAUACUUCAACUAAACAGCAUAAUUUUUUGUCCUAAAAAUAUGAAAAGUCAUUCAAGAUAAGUUGUGGGUCGUGGUUAAAUUGAUUUAUAAUUCACCGAACUUUCCAAAAAGAGUGAACUGUGUUAGAGUGUUCCAUAUUGGUUGAAAAAAUGACCAGCAUUAUUUUUUGAGGUUGAUUAUCAAAGCUUGGCCCAUCUGUCUUUUUGAUUUACUAAUGUAAGCCCCUCAUUUUACAUUAUUCACGCUUCAAAUGUUUAGGAUGUCUACGUUAAUUUGUGGACAUGGUUGUUAUUUCAUUAUAUAAUUUUUGGAAAACCCUCUCUAACCAGCUUCUAAAAUACUUACAUCAUGAGCUACAGUUUGGCCAAAAGUUAUUUUCUUAACUACAAAGUGGAUGGACUUUAACUAUGAAUAAUUUUUCUCUUACCUUGUUGUUUGACAUUGUAUGUGCAAAUCUUUAUUAGGUGGUGAAAGGAGCUAACAGGAGGCUUUUACUGUAUGUAGGUAAGCAUCAAUUUUCUCAAUCUGUUUCAAUUUAAAAGGAAUAGAACAAGAAGAAAAACUUGAGUUUUGAUAGCUCUUUUUUGUUGGGAAUAGAUUGUGGAGGACUGUGCAAAGUGUGAUGUAGCUCACACUCAAGGCCAAAUGUAUGCACCAGAGCCUGUGGGACUUGUUGUGUAAGGUGCAAAUGUGUUCCUCCUGGCACUUCUGGUAAUAGACAAGUGUGCGGCAAAUGCUAUACAGACAUGACUACUCAUGGCAACAGGACCAAAUGCCCUUAAUUAAACGGUGAAAAUUCAUAUAAUCGACCCCAACUUUGUUUGCGACUACGGCAUAGUCGCCACCCAUGUAGGACUUAAUUAGUACUCAAUCUUGUUUUUUCUAUUUUCCAAGUUUGUUUUACUACCGCCCAAAGUGAGAAUAUGUGUUUUGAUCUUUCUGAUGUAAAAAGUUAAUCCUGUGCGGGUCCUCGCAUAACUUUAAUGUCAAAGUUUCAGUUUCAUGACUGACUAAUGACUAAUAGUUCUUGAAUUACAGUAAAGUAAUGCUCUUAAAUUACAUCAUACAAGACCGAUUCUACUGGCUAUCCAGUAUUCGGCGAACUUGAAAGGUUAUCAGUAUAAAGAAAACACAAGUUUUGGUUGAUUGGGUGCGUCGAUACAUAUGCUAUGCUGAUAGGACAUACUAGCAUGUAUCCGAAUAGUAGUGAACAAACAUAUUAGAGGAAUUUUCAUAAAUGAUUAUUGUUUAGUGGAUAUUAACUAAUAUAUUAGAGGAAUUUUCAUAAAUAACUAUUGUUUAGUGGCUAUUAACUUCCUAUAGCUACCAUAUACUUAAUUACAUCCUAUAGUUGUCUUUUCAGUUGUUAUGGCCAAGUAUUUAAUGUAUUCAAUCUAUUGUAUUCAUGAAUACAGUAGGAAAACUUGGCUAAAAAACAGGAAAACAUAGUUGUACGUUUAUGUAUUCAGGUGUAUUUACACUAUGUAUUUACGAAUACCGUAACAGAAAUCAACGUAAAAAUAGGUCCCUCCAGCUAUUUAAAAACGGAAAGUGGAUAAAUUAACGUGACAUACUCCUAAUAUAACUCAACAAACACCAUUAAAAUACACAACAUUAGCAAUCCAAUUUAUGAGAAGAUUCUGCAAACGUCAAACACAAAAAAUA